CAGGUUUAUCUCCAAGAACGCAAUCAAUGAGGUAUUUGAUAAUGAAUUACAAGGAUAUAUUAGUAGUCAUCCUCAGUCACUACUUCCGGUAGGAUAAACCGAUAUUUCUAUACAAUACCUGCAAAUUACACAAGAUUGUUAAACCACACUUCAAAAACGGACCUAUAAAGACAGUAGUAGUGUUUGAAUAUGUCAUCUUUGACUUCAUGAAUAUCCACUUUACCACGCAAAAUGGAUAAUAGACCAAACAUUUAGCACGAAUGAAAGACUCCCUCAGUCUCACAUAUCUUGAGACAUUUACUUAUUUGGCAAAAGUUUUAUCCUUUAUUCACCUACACACAAAACAUUAUUUUUUUAAUUUUCGUGCAAAAAAAAGGCUCAAGAUAGUCGGGACGGAGAGAGUAAUAGUGAUAAUGGAUGAAGAAAUAUUUCAUCCCAGACUUACCAUUGUGAUUUUGCCCUAUAUUUUUGUGUUACAAGAAUAUGUUCUAAUUCUCCUCGAAGCUGGAAUACAAUAGAAAAUAGACCUGAAAAUAGGUAAAAUGUGUUUCAAUUCAAAUAUUUAAUUUUGCAUUACACGCCAUAAAAGAGCAUCAAAGUAUGAGAUAUUCUUUCAUGCGGUGCCAACGCGUGUGCUUCAAUCUUGUAUUUCACUUCACCAAAAUUAUCAUCUAUGCAAUAAUGUGCAUCUAUACACAUUUAUAAACCCNUUGUGGUAAAGGGUCUUUACGGUUUGGUGAGAUAUUCUUUCAUGCGGUGCCAACGCGUGUGCUUCAAUCUUGUAUUUCACUUCACCAAAAUUAUCAUCUAUGCAAUAAUGUGCAUCUAUACACAUUUAUAAACCCAAACAAAUACGUAAUAAAAUACGAUGUAUAGAAAAUAGAGAUUUCGGAUUCCAUUUGACGGACAGCAAUUUUCCAGAGUCCCAACUCCCACUACUCCUAGGGAUGCAUUAUUCCACAAAGAAAAAACAGGCAAGGAAAAUAUCUGAAGACUAACUUAAGAAAAGCAUCAGAUUCAUUCAUCAUCAAUACAAAAAAAGAGGAACAUCUUUUGCAGUAUAAAUACUUCAUCUCUUACCCCAAAUUUCCGAGGAGAGAAGGAGAAGGCUGCAAAAUUAGGCCAAAAAAUGCGCAGAAGCUAUGACUACCACAACAGCAGCUACUCCAUGGAUGAAUAUCUCCAACGCCUCGACAGAAUCCAACGGAUGCCAAGCAUGGUAGGGGACUAUCCCAAUUUCCCAAACGUGCACGAGGUUCUCAACAAGAAGCCUACAAACAAAGGCAAAAACAAAUAUCAGCAGAAGAACCAACAGAGUCCUGAGAAGAAAGUUCACUUUGCUGAAGAAGAUAAGAAGACGAUUGAGGCUGAUAAGCACGACGUGGUGGAUAAGUCAAUCGAUGUGGAAGCAGAUGGAUUCAUCAAGCAGAAGCACAAGGGAUUUGCACUUUGCAAAUGGGACACCUUCAAGGUCUAUUAAAAAGUUGAGUCAGUAAUGUCAUGACAGGCUUACAUGUAUUUUUGUUUAAUGUUAUCAUGUUAUACUAGGAUUUUACAUAAAUAAGAUGCCUGUCUUCUAUAUGCAUAGUUUGUGAAAUUCUAAGUGGUAUUUUCCUAAUUUCCUGUACUAUAGAUCAGGUAAUGAAAACCUAUCAGCUUUGUCUCUACUUCUUUAUAGUUCUUGUCCUUAACUCUUGAUGGUUUAGGACAAUCCAUAAAUCUUCUAUAUUGCUUUACUGAAUUGAGCUUCUGUUUCUUAGCAUAAACCCGAUACAUAAUUUUUACUAGCCAUCGCUUCAGUUAACACAUGCUCUCUUCUAGAGAUAGUUAAAUGGCAACCAGCAUAUUACGAAUGAAGAUCUUAGUUCGAACCAGUCUGAAACUUUACACAGAUAUCUCACACAGAAAUUCAAAGCUCAAUCAGGAUGACUCGUGCAAUUUAACAGACAUACACUUUUUUUAAGUUUCUGAUGAUCAAGAUUUGAAGCAAGGAUUCUCCUCCCAAAUCAAUGAUGUUGUACAGAAUUAUAAUAAUGGAAAUUAGUGAAAGGAAACUUAAGUGUUAAACAAUCCAAGAUUUUGCCACAUGUAAAAUACAAGAAUGCAGCAUAUGUGUUGCAUAAUUAGUGCUGAAUAAAGAGCCGAAUAGUUUUACUUUCAGCAUUCGAACAAUUGAUAAAAUAGGGACAGGAGGAUAUAGGAAUCAUUUUUAUUAUGAGGAUAUUAAUCAUAUGGAAUUUUAUGUUCAGUCAUAAAACACUUUACAGUGCAUUCCCUAUUGUAUGUUUGUAUUGCUUGCUUUUGAAUCUCCUGUUACAUUAUUAACUACAUGUCAAGUCUUCAUCCAUAAUGCAAUUUCAUAUAUACAUUAGGCUCAAGUAACAAGUCAUAAACAGAAGUUUCACUCUUGAAGUACUAAAUUGUCUUCCUCAAUCAAAAAAUACUACUAGUAAAUUUUACCUACAUUAAUAAUUGCAUGUCUGAAAGUACAAAGUCAUAUAGUUAAAUAAUCUUUAAAGAAGUCAUAUGUUAAAUUUCCCAAUGAAUCCACAGCCACAGCUAACUAUAUUCAAGAGAUAACGUACCUUAAUACUGCAAAGCUGAAUGUUUUACUUUUCGUAAAGAUUUCUCCAACCUCCACUGCCACAGUUGCUCAAGUAACACAUACAGAUUCACGAAUUCAUUUCAAUAAAAUCUCAAGAAAAAAAAAUGUUACACAUAGAUAUACAAGUUCGUCAAAAGGGCAUCAUCAUAAAACUCAUAGAGAACUAUUAAGCUAAGCAAGAUAGAAGUGGUCUUAUCUCUUCUAAAUUCUUUCAUAAGGUGGCAGCAAAUUGCUAUUAACAACAGAGAAAUCGAAACAAAGUGAACAAUUUUCAUUGAAUUGUAAUAACAUACUAAAGUUAAACUAAUAUGUAAUUCAAUCACUACAAAUGUAAUCUCAUAACCCCCCCAAUCCUAUACGACAAUUAAGUGAUCUUACAGAAAACUGGCAAAACCAAAGCCGCUAAGCAGCCAUAGAAUCCCCAACGAACCUCAACUCAUCUUUCUACUCGAUAAUCGACUGAAUGACACCAGCACCUACAGUCUUCCCACCUUCUCUGAUGGCAAACCUCAUACCCUGCUCACAAGCAACCGGUGUAAUAAGCUCAACCUCCAUUUUCACAUGAUCACCAGGCAUCACCAUCUUUGACUCCUCGUCCUGAUCGUUCAUGAUCCUGACCACAGCCCCUGUCACAUCAGUAGUCCUCAUGUAAAACUGAGGCCUAUAAUUCGUAAAGAAAGGGGAAUGCCUCCCACCUUCCUCCUUCUUCAACACAUAAACCACACCAUAAACUUCUUGUGAGGCGUGAUUGUGCCAGGCUUAGCCAGCACCAUCCCCCUCUGAAUAUCAGCCUUCUGGACACCUCUCAAUAACAACCCCACAUUAUCCCCAGCCACGGCCUCAUCCAACGUCUUCUGAAACAUCUCCACGCCCGUUAUAACCGUGCUCCUCGUCUCCUUCAAUCCAACAAUGUCCACCAUAUCCCCAAUCUUGAUCGUCCCUCUCUCCACCCUCCCCGUAGCCACAGUCCCCCUACCCGUAAUCGAGAAAACAUCCUCUAUUGCCAUCAAGAAGGGCAAAUCAGUCCUUCUCUGCGGAAUGGGAAUGUAGUUAUCAACCUCAUCCAUUAGCUGAUAAAUUUUAUCAACCCACUCAUUCUCCCCUCUUUUAAUCCCAGGGUUCUCAAUCAAAGCAUUCAAAGCUAGCAAUGCAGAGCCCGAAACAAUCGGAAUAUCAUCACCAGGAAAUUCAUGCGUGGAAAGCAAUUCCCUCACCUCCAAUUCCACCAGCUGCAGCAGCUCCUCAUCAUCAACCUGAUCCUGCUUGUUCAAGAAAACCACCAUAUUCGGAACCCCGACUUGCUUCGCCAGCAAAAUGUGCUCCUUCGUCUGCGGCAUGGGGCCAUCGGCGCCGGAGACGACGAGAAUCGCGCCGUCCAUCUGCGCGGCGCCGGUGAUCAUGUUCUUCACGUAGUCGGCGUGGCCGGGGCAGUCCACGUGGGCGUAGUGGCGGUUCUCCGUCUCGUACUCGACAGUGGCGGUGUUGAUCGUGAUGCCGCGCUUCAGCUCUUCGGGGGCGGCGUCGAUCUCCUCGUAUCUCUUGGGGGCGGAGUUUCCGAGGGACGCCAGGGCCAUCGUCAGCGCCGCGGUGAGGGUGGUCUUGCCGUGAUCGACGUGGCCGAUCGUGCCGAUGUUGACGUGGGGCUUCUUGCGCUCGAACUUGCCACGGGCGGCGCGGACGGAGAAGCGGCGGAGAGGGGUAGGGGCGGCGGCGGCGACUUCGUGGAAAUUGAAGUUGGUGGCGGUAGUGAAUGAGGAGGUGAGGGUGAUUUUAGAGGAUUUCGGAGAGGGGUUGGGGUUUGGGAAAGAAGGUGAGGAAAUGUGCGUGAGCUUCGCGAUCGAUGAAGCGGCGGUGGCGGCGAUGAUCGAGGCCAUGGGAGAGAGAGUGGGGAGAUUCUAGAGAGAGAACACAGUGUACUAUAACUACCAACUAGUCUGACCCCAAAAACUUUGCAUAAAGUCUCCAACAUAAAUGUUCCGUUUGUUUAUUAUUUAAUUUAAUUAAAUUUACUUUAUGAGCAAUGCUAUUUGGCCAUAAUAUGGCUGGCCAUAAUAGCUUUAAACUCAAUGUAUUUAUAAACUCAAUGCAUUAAAUACAUGAGGGGAGGGCAUUUUUACCCUAUUAUGGACGUCAGGUUUACAAAUUUAAUAAGUGGUAAUAUACAAUACUACACAACUCUCUCAACCUAUAUUUACACUAUAUCCACUUUUUUCAAACAAUUCACCCCAUAUCCAUUUCAAUAUUUAAUUAUUUCUCUUGGUACUUGCAUAUUCUUUCACCAUUUCCUAUGCUGACAAAGUGAAGUUACUUUUGACCGAAUUUAAUUGUAAAAGGGGUGGGUAGUUUAGCUUUGUCUUCUUUAUGUUUUAUUUUGAAUUUGUCCCACCUUUCUCUCCACAAAACUUCCGCAAAGUUCCUCUCUGCGUGAAUUAUCCUAAUUCGCCAUCUUUGCGUACACAUAUUUUCUCCAGAGAUCUAGCUCGGCGCCGGACAAGAUGAACCCACCGAGAGAGGUUUGGUUUUUACGGUUUUUAUUAACUAAUUGUUCGGAAUUUUUUUAAAAUUUAGCCUACAUUUUUUAGGCGUGUUUCCUGAAUUUUGUGGUUCAUGUAUAAAGUAAAUUUUGGUUCUGUAAAUUUUUUUUAGGCUUUGCGCACUAAAUUUAUUAACUAUUUUUUUUAGGCUUUGCGCACUUUAGGCUUUGUGGUUCUCUAAUUUCAUUAACUAAAGUGCGCAUAAUAAAUAAAUUUAAUUUAAUGUAAUUAGCAUGUCAUUGUUUUAAAUAAUUUAGAUUUGGGUAUUAUGCUAAUUACAUUUAAUUCGUCAUUUUUAGUAUAAUACUAAAUUAGCAUGAAUUUAAAUUAGCAUGAAUUUAAAGUGCGCAUGAAUACUAAAUUAGCAUGACUUUAAAUUAGCAUAAAUUAGCAUGAAUUUAAAGUGCUUAUGAAUACUAUGCGCAUAAUACUAGAAAUGCGCAUAAUACUAAAAAGAAGACAAUAAAUUUAAAUACUAUGCGCAUAAUAAAGAAAUUUAAAUACGCAUAAUACUAAAAAUGCGCAUAAUACUAAAACUGCGCAAUAAAUUUAAAUACUAUGCGCAUAAUAAAUAAAUUUAAUUAAAAAUAAAAUUCAAAAUGCGCAUAGUUGUCGAAUUUUUUGAUUUCAAUACUAUGCGCAUAAUUUGAUUUCAAUAUGCGCAUUGUUGAUUUUUUUGAAUUUUUUUUAUUUCAAUACCAUAUAAUAUGCGCAUUGUUGAAUUUUUUUGAUUUCAAUACCACAAUUUGAUUUCAAUAUACACAUAAUACUGUAUUGUUGAUUUUUUUUUUUCAAUACCAUAUUAAUUGAAUUCAGCAUACAUUAUUAAUUUGAUUUCAGCAUAUAUUAUAUUUUCUUUAUUUGCAUUGGCUUUAUUUUGAUUUAAUUUAUUUAUUGUGAAUAUAUUAUUUCUUCUUUAUUUGCAAUUUUUUUUGGACGAAUAUUUGCAUUGUUUUAAUUUUUUCUUUUAAUUUUAUGUUGUGACUUUCUUAAUUAAUUAUUUACCUAUUGUAACAGGGUGCUCCUGUUCUAUUGAGACCGGAGACAAUUAAUUCUACAUGGGACGUGGGCACUUAUUACAAAAUUAAGUAUCUAAGCAAGGUAAAGAAAAUAUUAAAGGAAAAAGGUGGGCAACAGUUGUUGGAUAGAUUUUUAGGCGAUUGUUUUGGAUAUUUUUUGGAUUGGAAUCCUGGUCCAAAAUGUGCAAUGGUUGUGCAUCAUGUAGUAUCCCGCCAAUUGCUGCAGCUGCUUUUAGUAUGUGUGUUAUUGAUUAGGUUGUGCUUGUAAGUUAUGGAUUCCAUAUUAUUUCAAACUUGGUAUUUUAGGAGUCUUAUUGCAUACCAUUUCACAUCUAUGCGCAUUGUCCAUGAUUUAAAAUAUUACAAAAACUAUUUAUUUGAAAUACAUAUUAUAAGUAUUAGUACACUAUAUAAAAUACAUUGUACUAUUAAUUUAUAAGUACUAACAAAUAAUAUUUCGAAAUAUAUAAUGAAAAUGUAAUAAAAAGAACUACAAUUGUUGAUGUUAAAUAACUAAAAAUAAUUAACAUAAAUGAAUGAAAAAGCUAUGCAUGUUGAGAUAAUAAUAAUAAUAAUAAUAAUAAUAAUAAUAAUAAUAAUAAUAAUAAUAAUAAUAAUAAUAAUAAUAAUAAUAAUAAUAAUAAUAAUAAUAAUAAUAAUAAUAAAAAUAAAAUAUUAAUAACAAAAAAAGAAGAAAAUAAAAGAUUAUAAAAAAUUAAAACUUUCAUUGUAAAUUAUUUUUUAUAAUUUUUAUUUAUUUUUUCUUUAUCUUCUUAUUUUUCUAUUUUAUUUAUUUUNCUGUAUAAUUAUAUUUUACUAGAAAUAUAUAUAUAUAUAUAUAUAUAUAUAUAAUUUUAAGUUCAAAUAUAUUAUAGUAUUAUGAGGUGCUUGGCAAACACCUUCUCAAAAAUCAAAUAUGUAGAAUCUACUGAAAAAAAUAUUAAAAAAUAAUAAUAAGACAAAAAUCAAAUAUCUCAAUAUUAAUGGAAAUAAAUUACAAUAAAAUAAAAUUAAAUAGAAAAGAUAACAAAAAAUAAUAAUAAUAAUUUAAUAUUGUUUUCAAAAAGGUUUUCAAAAAGAAAUUUGAACAACCUCCCAAGAUUUUAAAAUAUUCAUUUGCCACCUUGUCCGAUACUAAUAUUUGUAAUACAAUGAAUACACAAUUACUCUUAUAGCUAAAAGACAUUAUAUUGUACUCUCUCAGCCCCAUUACAAAUGUCUCACUUUCCAUAAUGGGACGUCCUAUUACAAAUGUCUCAUUAAUUCCUUUUUUGACAAUAUAUACUUAAUAUUUAAACAAUUUCCAUCAACCCGAUUGAUCUACUUUCUACACAUUUCUUAAUCUCUCCGCCCAAAAGCAAUGAGAUAUUUGUAAUGGUACAGAUAGAGUAAUAAAUUAGUGACUUUAAAAUAAAAAUAGAAAAUAGAAAAUAGGACUGAAUUACUAUAAUGAUUAUAAUAAUAUCAUACAUUAACCACAUUCUUUGAUUAUUUCGUAGCACUACAUGCUAAUGAAAAAUUCAUAAUAAAUUAGUGAACUUUAAAUAAAAUAAAAUAAAACAAAAUUACUAUAAUAGUGAAAAUAAAGUCAUACGCCGACACAUCGAUCAAUUACUAAAUGAAAUUAAAGUAUAGGACAUUAUAUUGCAAUAAAUUAGUGAACUUGAAAUUUAAAAAAAAAUAUAUAUAAAAUAGGAAGAGAUAGCUAAAAUUUUUAGAAUAAUAUCAUAUGUUAACUACUUUCUUUGAUUAUUUCAUAAAAGUAUAGGUUAAUGAAUAAAUCAUAACAAAUUAGUGAAAUUAAAAUAACACUUAUUAAACAUAAAUGUAUAACUAUAAUUGUGGGAAUACUAUCAUACGUUGAACAUGUCGAUCGAUAACUGAAAAAAAAAUAUACUAUAGGACAAUAUAUUAUACUCCAUUUGUCCACAAAGAGUGUGUGUUUUCAUGUGUGUUUUCUUUUUUUAGAAACUCCCCCUUAUAUUUUAAAUCACAUUCAUACUCAAUAUUUACAAAAUACUCACACCUUACUUUUACAAUUUGGUGGGCUCAAUCCCUACUUAAGUACCACCCUUUGUGGGACCCUUUCAAUAUUAAAAUCACAUAUUCCAACCAUCUUAUUAAAAUAUGUGCCAUCCACUCUACCACACACUCGAAAUAACAAACUAUUUUUUUUUAUAAAAUGAAUACAAUUAUGAAAAUAGUAUCAUACGUGGAGCACAACGAUCAGUUACUUAAUAAAAUUAUAUUAUAAUAAAUUUAAUGAACUCAAGAUUAAAAAUAUAAAUAGGAAGGAAUUAUUAUAAUUGUGAAAAUAAAUUAAUAAAAAUGAUGAAAAGAAAAAAACAAAACACAAAUGAAAGGGAAAUGGAAAGAAAAAACGAAACAAAAUGUAUUACUCCUAUACUAUAGUGGUAAUAUAUAAUACUACACAACUCUCCCAACCUAUAUUUACACUAUACCCACUUUUUCCAAACAAUUCACCUCAUAUCCAUUUCAAUAUUUAAUUAUUUCUCUUGGUACUUGCAUAUUCUUUCACCAUUUCCUAUGCCUGACAAAGUGAAGUUACUUUUGAUCGAAUUUAAUUGUAAAAGGGGUGGGUAGUUUAGCUUUGUCUUCUUUAUAUUUUAUUUUGAAUUUGUCCCACCUUUCUCUCCACAAAACUUCCGCAAAGUUCCUCUCUGCGUGAAUUCUCCUAAUUCGCCAUCUUUGCGUACACAUAUUUCUAGCUUUGGAAUUUUUUUAAAAUUUAGACUAUUUUUUUUAGACGUGUUUCCUGAAUUUUGUGGUUCCCGUAUAAAGUAAAUUUUGGUUUUGUAAAUUUUUUUUAGGCUUUGCGCACUAAAUUUAUUAACUAUUUUUUUUAGGCUUUGCGCACUUUAGGCUUUGUGGUUCUCUAAUUUCAUUAACUAAAGUGCGCAUAAUAAAUAAAUUUAAUUUAAUGUAAUCAGCAUGUCAUUGUUUUAAAUAAUUUAGAUUUGGGUAUUAUGCUAAUUACAUUUAAUUCGUCAUUUUUAGUAUAAUACUAAAUUAGCAUGAAUUUAAAGUGCGCAUGAAUUUAAAUUAGCAUGAAUUUAAAGUGCGCAUGAAUACUAAAUUAGCAUGACUUUAAAUUAGCAUGAAUUUAAAGUGCGCAUGAAUACUAUGCGCAUAAUACUAAAAAUGCGCAUAAAACUAAAAAGAAGACAAUAAAUUGAAAUACUAUGCGCAUAAUAAAUAAAUUUAAAUACGCAUAAUACUAAAAAUGCGCAAUAAAUUUAAAUACUAUGCGCAUAAUAAAUAAAUUUAUUAAAAAUAAAUUUAAAUAUGCAUAAUACUAAAAAUGCGCAAUAAAUUUAAAUACUAUGCGCAUAAUUUGAUUUCAAUACGCAUAAUACUAAAAAUGCACAAUAAAUUGUACCAUACAAAUGCGCAUAGUUGUCGAAUUUUUUUGAUUUCAAUACUAUGCGCAUAAUUUGAUUUCAAUAUGAGCAUUGUUGAUUUUUUUUUGAAUUUUUUUAUUUCAAUACCAUAUAAUAUGCGCAUUGUUGAAUUUUUUUGAUUUUUUUUUUAUUUCAAUACCACAAUUUGAUUUCAAUAUACGCAUAAUAUUGUAUUGUUGAAUUUUUUUUGAUUUCAAUACCAUAUUAAUUGAAUUCGGCAUACAUUAUUAAUUUGAUUUCAGCAUAUAUUAUAUUUUCUUUAUUUGCAUUGGCUUUAUUUUGAUUUAAUUUAUUUAUUGUGAAUAUAUUAUUUCUUCUUUAUUAUAUUUUCUCGUUGAUCUUUUUGAUAAUUUUAGGAUAGAUGCGCAUCUCAAUAUUAAAUUAUUUAAAUAUGUGCAUAAUAUUACUUUAAUAUUACGCAUAAUAUAUAUGUAUAGUUAAAAUUAAUGUUGAUAAUUUAAAAUGCGCCGAAAUAUGCACCGAAAAUAUGGGGUAUAAUUAAUAUAUAAUUUAAUAUGCGCAUAAUUUUCGGCGCAUAAUAUGUGCGCAUAGUUAAAUAAUUUAAAAUUAAUAUUAAAUUAUUUAUAUGUAAUUUAUGCCCAUUCAUGGUUCAAAAUGCCCAUUCAUGACUUUUAUGCGCAUAGUUAUUUAACUAUGCGUAAUAUUAAAGUUGACCACAAAGUCAUCAACAUAAAACAUUAAAAUAUAACAAAUUAUUUAACUAUGCGCAUCUCAAAUUUGCAAACAAUGCGCUAAAUUCAAAUUUGCGCAUCCAAAUUUGCAAACAAUGCGCUAAAUUCAAAUUUGCAAACUAUGCGCACAAGUUGCAAACAUUGCGCUAAAUUCAAAUUUGCGCAUCUAAAUUUGCAAACAAUGCGCUAAAUUCAAAUUUGCAAACUAUGCGCACAAAUAUUAACUCUGCGCAUAUUAAUUGCGCAGAGUUAAGGCUAUGCGCAAACAAUAACAUGUGGACAAACUCAGUACACGGAAAUCCACACUGCAAAUCACACGCCCAAUCAUUAGGCACAGCUUUUUUCAGCAUAAGAAAUAUUAAAAUAAUAUAAUGGGUAUGGGGUAAAUCAUUUUGAAAAAGUGGGUAUAUGGGAAAUGUAGUUUGCAAAAGGUGGGUAUUUUCGAUUUCCUCCCAUUUAAUAAAGUCUAAAUAAUUUUUAUAUUUAUAUUUAAAAAAUUAAAUUUUUAAAAAUAAAUAUUAUUAUUAUCUUGUGAUUUAACUUGUUUAUAUUUCAAGCUUCAUUAAACAUUUUUUUCUUCAAUUUGAAUUUCAAAUAAGCUGUGACCGGUUUGAUUUAUUUACGGUACUAAUCAGAAGUUGCUAAUCAAUCAAAAUUUGUUAAUUGUUUGCGUUUUUGAAUUUUAUGUAAUUGCAAUUUGAAGCUUAAAUUUUGUAGAUCCUAAAUGUUUAUCAGUUGCAUGGAAGCAUUCUUUUUCUUUUUCUUUUUUGAGUUAUGCAUGAAGGCACUCUUGUUGCUGAAUAAUCAAGCUCGAAACUGCACAAAGGGCCCCAAACUUUUCCGUAACUACGAAAAGGCAUUUAACUCUUAUAAAAUUGCAGUUUGGUCUUUUGAGGUUGAGGGUUAGAAAAUUCUCUAGUCCUUGAACAUGGUACAUAAAAUCGGAAAAGUAGUGGAAAAAGAUGUUGACGUUUGAUUGGGCUAUAGCAAUCUCAUGACUAACAAAACAAGGUCUUCUCAGCCGAAAUACUUUGUACCAAAGCAGGUCACGAAAGCUACAAAGAAUAGUAUCAGUAAUUUUUAUUUUUUUUAGUUUAGAAUAGUAUCAGUAUUUAACUAGCAUACAUUAGGCAACUAUAUGUGAAAAAAAGUUAUGUAAGCAUACAUUAUACAUUAUUCUUCAUCAGCUACUGAGCUUUACUUCAUCUUCACAAAGCAGUUGCAGUCCACAUUAAUCUAGACUUGAAUCUUGGGGGAAAGGAUGAUAAUUUCCUGCAAACAUCUAAACCUAUAUCUGUGCAGAUGAUUCAGAAGUAUUCAUAAACGUGAAACAGGCGUCGCUUCUGGUUCAAUUCGUGCCAUAUAUCUUGGCGUUGCAGACGCUAAAAAUCCUGUGAUGAGCCUCCUCCGGCAGGUCCUUUAGAAGAUCAAAAACAGCUUCUUUGUGCUUCUGCUUCAGAUCGUUCAGCUCCUUGAACUGCUCGUCCAGCACACAGUCGAGUUUCUUGAGAACACUCUUGAUGUCUCCUGCGUCACUUCCACAUGGAGAUGCGUUUUCUUUUUCUUCUAAUGGUUGAGGAGUCCCGCUUUCAGGUGCAUCAAGGAGCCGCUCAUCUUCACCAAAUUGUAACUCACUAGGUGCAGAAGCCGGUUGCUUCUUGCUGUCAUCUUCGCGAUCAGAGUCAUACUCCACAUGUCUGAGAGGCGAAACAUCAUGAGAGGUGCUAAUAUCUUUAUGGCUAAAUGGUGAUUGUGACGUUACUUCAGACCAGGUGUCUCCAGAGGCAUUGAAUCUGCUGACAUCAAGUGAGACGGCCCUGGCUUUAGUGGUGAGCAUCCGCCACAAGCUUUGGGCGAAUCAGACCAGUAUUUUCUACCCGAGGGGAGUCUUUCCAAAACAAGAGGGCCAGAGUGAGGAGUUUCAUGCGUCAGGGGAGAAACAUCUCCGUGUGCUCCAGGUAUACCGAAUUCAAUCAUUGUUUCACCACCAAAAUUGUUGUUGUUUGCAAGCCCUCCAGGUGUACAAUCAGGAAUGAGGGAUUGGAAUUCAGAAUCGAUCAUUGCAGCAAUAACCGAGACAUCAUGAUCUGUCAAAUCCAGCUCUUCAACCAUUUCACUAGCAACGGCAAUGGAAGUGUCCUCCUCGACAUCAAAUGGAAAGUGAAUGUUCCUUAUAUGCCCUGAAUGAAUAAAAUAAGCCACUGGCAUUCAACGACAACGAGCACUAAAUGCAGUAAAUGGAAACAACGAUAUCAAUAACCUGAUGCAUCUGCAAUUCGAAGUUUCAAAAAUAUUGUAUUAUGGUCUUUUCUUUGACCCUGCAAUGUGAAGUCUCGCCUCCCCUCAAAUCCAGAAUCAUGGUGAUUUUUACCAUUGUCAAACCAGUUGCCAUUAGCAUCUGCAAUUACAAACGGUGGAAAACACUGCUUGCCAUUUAUAACCAGAAACUACAAGUGGCUAGAAGUUAGAACUGAAAUAAAGGCUAUAUUGCACCUGCAUUGGUAGAUUGUCGCCACAGUGAAUGACCUAAACCGUCCUCAUCUGAUUUUAAGAAUGGAUCCAUCAGUAAUUCUUUGGCUGACAACCGAUCAGGGACUUUUGCGAUGCAUUUUUCUAUGAACUCCCGGAUAUCAGGAUCCUUCACUUUUCUUAAUGAUGCAGGCUUGAUUCCCUUUAAACAAAUUCAAGAAUUUAGUGGAGAGGUGCACAGAAGAAAGUUAAUCAGUUAGCUAUCCUCAGUCCACGUCUGGAUUCUGAAAUUAAUAUUCUAAACUAAAGUAUAUGGUUUCUGUUUUUAUUAUUUCAAAAGUAAAAGUUACAGUGGAAAAAGAAAAGAAAAUAAGCCAGGAAGCAGAGAAAAUGAGACAAUCAAGUUGCUGAGCCUGCUGAUAAAAGUGACUUUUAGGCUAAUAAAGAAUGUAUCCAGCAACAAAGCGAGAAACAGAAAAAGAUAUUAUGACUUGAAACUGGCUUUCUUUACCAUUACUUUGUGUCAUCAUUUCUUCAGUUUUAUCCUGUUCUUGUAUCUGGCUAUUUACUCCUGACUUUUGUUUUCUUUUUUUGUAGUGACAGAUAAUAAAUGCUCAAGGGAAUAAUUGUGGUAUUUUACAAGCUUCCACUUAAAGCAGACAAUGAAAAGAUAAAAAACAAACUACAUACAGUAAAAUCAAUAUCGACUUACUGCUGUCACUUUUUUGUAAAUCUGAGCAGCAUUGGAGCAUUCCACAUAUGGAUACUCAAAGGUGACUAGCUCUAGCAAGCACAUACCAAAUGCAUAUAUAUCUACAAGUUCAUUGUAUUCUUCCUCAUAAAGCUCCGGUGCCAUGAAUUCCGGAGUACCUAUUUCAGAAUCACAGUUUUGCCUUAGAUUCAAGCAUAAAAAGCCAAUUUGAAGUUAUGAUCAACUAACUUACCUAUGACACUGUGAGCUGAACUAGCUUUCUGUAGGAUAGCAGCCAGCCCAAGAUCACCAAUUUUCACCUCUCCUUGAUUCCCAUUGACAAAAACAUUAUCACAUUUCAAGUCUCGAUGAAUAACUGGAGGAUCAUGACGGUGAAGAUAUGAAAGCCCUUCUAAGAUUUGCCUAGACCAUUUCUUCAAUGCCCUCACAUCAACAUGCUUGUGUUUCUUCCUAUACCUAAACAACACAAAACCAACUCGAGCUGCUAAACUCCUACUCAAGCAUAUCAAAAGAUUCAUAACGGAGCUACUGAAAAUCUUACGUACUGUCUUAGAGUCCCAGACACGAAAAUCUCAGUAAUGAAGUUGAUAUGCUCGUUCUUUGUAUCAAUCCACGAGUUGUAAAAUUUGAUAAUGUUCUUGUGCUUGAGAGUUUUCAGCAGGUGAACUUCAGAACACAACCUCUCCAUAUCAUCGGAAUUUCUCAAUAGAUCAGCAAGUUUCACCUGAUUCCAAGCCACCUCUAUGCCUUCCAACUCAUCAAAAGCCCUAUAUCUAAAUUCCAACAAUAAAAUGAAAGGAUAAACAAAAAUGAAAAUUUCCAUGUUUAGUAGAAACUAUCAAAUCACAUAAAAUUUCAUACACUUUUUUGAAAGCCCCUUUUCCAAGCACUUCUUUGUACUGCAAAAACAACACGAACAUAACUAAAUUAACUAAUUUACCGCCAAGAAAAGAAACAGCAACAAUAAAUCAGAACAUUAAGCUGAACACCAAACUCAACCACAACAGCGUUAAAGAAUGCAACAUUAGCCAUAAAACCACAAUCUUUAUCAACAAAAUUUUACUCAAGCUACAGAAAUUGUACGAACCCGACCGUAGCGACCGGAGGGAUCCACCUCGACGAAUUCGGGCACAAUAUCGUAAUCGUCCGGUUCGGUCUCGGACGCCGAGUCCUGCACCAUUUUCGUGCCUAAUUCAACAGAGCAAUGCGGAACAGAAAACCUACUCUGAUUCAGAUCUACUGCUGAAAAUUAUUGGAAUAUUAUACUGUCUUCUGCCGCAAUUCGAUGGCAGAAAUUGUAUUUUAUAAUUCGAAUACUACACAGUUUCGCGGCUUUGAGAAAUGAAACAGUGAUAAUUCGAAAAUCUUUGAACAUAACAAAUUUGAAGAAUUCGAAUUAGAUGACGUAAACGGGUUUUUGUUUGAUAUAGACGAGUCUACGUCGGUUAUGUAUAUGAUCUGCCUACAUAUCUCUAUAUAUAUUUGACUUUUAACUAGCUUUCUGGUUAUGGUAAUCACUCUGGUUACGAACUCAUUACGAUUAUCGAGUUACCGAAUGGUGAGUUCGUGAAUCUUUAUAUCGGCUAAUAUAAGAAUAUAGUAAAAUAAUAAUAAUGAAAAUUAAUAAUCCUCCGUUCCUGAAAUAAGUUCAUCUUUUUUCAUGGGACGUCCCCAAAAGUUCAUCUUCUCAUUUUGAACGACUCGAGCCACAGCUAUAAUGAGCUAUUUUCUAUACUCAACUUCCAAUACAGUUAUACUCACUACUUUUCACUCCAAUACUAAUAACUCUCACUCAAAAUACAUCCUUAAAUGGCUCGCCAAGUUCAUCAAAAUAGUCGAGCUCGAGUCUGAGCAUGGCAAUACUCGACUCGACUCGGCUCAUUUACACCCCUAUGUAUAUGAUCUGCCUACAUAUCUCUAUAUAUAUUUGACUUUUAACUAGCUUUUCUUUAGUUGUUCGAUUUUAAGAGCACCCGCAAUGGGGUUCCUUGAUAGCCUACUUGAUAAUGGUUGUGUUAUUGAGUAGGUAGUGCUGCAUUGGGAUUCCUUGAUAGCCUACUUGAUAACAUUAGUUUUGAUUUUAUGUUUUUCAUUUAAAUUUUAUUGCAUAAUUUAAAUAACAUAUUUUUGUAAUAACAUUAGUUAAAUACGCCAUUAAACAUAAAAUUUAAAAACACCUAAAACAUAAAAAAAAUUACAUAAAAAUUUUAAAACACCUAAAACAUAAAAUUCGAAUUUAUCUAUUUUUCCUUUUUUUUUAAUUAGGGCGCGUGCAUUGCACGCGCCUUCCCUCUCCCCCUUCGAGCAUACUCGAAGACUCGAGUAUUGCUCGAGUACCUCCCCCCGCAACGCACCUACUCGAAGGCAACGCCUUCCUCGAGGAGCCACUCGAGGAAGGCGUUGUGGGUGCUCUAAUGGAUUGAUUAUCAUUGGUAAACAAUAUAGUAAAUUAUGUGAAAGUGUUUGUUAUAUAUUACUCCGCCGUCUCAAUAGCAGUGUUUCAUAGUUUUUGGACAUGAAAAUUAAGAAAUAUAUAAAAAAUACAUAAAAUAAGUUGGUAAAAAUUGAAUAUUUAUAUUGCGACGUUCAGAAAGAAAAAUGGGACAUUAUUAUUGAGAGAUGAAGGGAGUAAUAUAUUGAGAGAUGAAGGGUGUAAUAUGUUAUCUUAAAGAAUCAUAUUAUCAUAUAUUAAAACAAAACGUUCAACAAGAUAAUGUUAUGAUUUAUUGAAAUGGAACCAAGAGUAUAUUUUAAAAGAAAUUACGUUGUCAUCAAGGGGACACCAAGUAGUGCGAUCUCAUUUAACAGUCACGUCAAAACUGUCCUCAACCAAGAGUAUAUUUUAAAAAAACGUUAAAAUUACAAAAUGCAACAAAAUUCAAGCAUGAAUUAUCAGUUAACCAUUAUCCUUUAAUUAGCUUUUAUUAGGGGAUUUAAUUUAGCUAUUUUUAAUAGUUAAGAUUUUAUUCUCUCAAAUUUAGAAAGCUAAAGAAAAGUGGUCAAGUGACAUGGCUGCAAAUAUCUUAAUAAGAAGAAGAAAAAAAAAAAACUAUAUAUCAAAAGGGUAUUUAUAUACACUUUACUAAAUUUGGUAGAGAGAAAGAGAUGGCUGCUUACGCCAGUGUGAUUUCGCUCAAGCAUACAAUCAAACGUCUCCUAAAUUCAUCUGAAAUCUUGUUGCUUCCCCCAUCUCCAGAGAUCAUAGAAUCUGCAAGCAACGAGCUUCAAUCGUUACGGAAAACUCUCAUAAGAUUGGAUCGCGGCAGCAAGAGCAGCAGCAGGAAGAAGAUCAACGCUUUGGACGAGCAAAUCAGAGAGGCAGUAUGCAAGCUAGAAGACUUGCUCGAAUCCCAUCUCUCAAAUCAGAUUCUUUCACAAUCCGAAGAAGAAAUUACCGAAGAUGGGAUUCAAUUCUCCAUAGAUCUGCAGGAAUCAGAGCACGAGAUUCUGUGCCUCGUCGAAGCGUUGAAGGAGAUGGAGCUGGACUACAUCAAAGAAUUAGACAACCCAGAAGUCGAAGAAGAGGAAGAUGAUGAUGGUGAUGAACUUGUUGUUUCCACAAGAAUUGAUUCUUGUGGGAAUGAGUCGAAGAUGAUUGGAUUAUCCGAUAAAUUUCUGGAAAUUAAAGACCGGCUAAAACGUGUUGAUGGGCUCCAUCUGGUGACGCCGAUAACCGGGAUGGCAGGCAUCGGUAAGACUACACUUGCUAAUGAAAUUUUUAGCGAUUUAGAUAUUUCAGAACAGUUUGAUCUUCGAGCUUGGGUGGCAGUAAGUAGGAAAUGGCAGUUGAAAGAAAUCUUACUUGCCAUUCUAGCUCAAGUUGAUGCUGACAUGGUUGAGAUGAUUAUGGAUGAAGAAGUGAAAAAUAUAGGUGAUUAUUUGAAAGAGAGUUUGAAAGGUAAGAGGCAUCUAAUUGUGUUGGAUGAUGUGUGGGACAAACAAGUUUGGGAUGAGUUGAAAAAUAGUUUGUUUAAAGAUGAUAAUAAUGGAGGGAAAAUCUUGAUCACAACUAGGUUAGACCAAGUAGGUCGAGGUGCUAGCAAUCCUGUAUCAGGAAUUGUGAAAAUGAGGUUGUUGAAUAAAGAAGAAAGUUGGGAUCUUCUUCGUGAGAAGGUUUUUGGAGAAGAGUUAUGCCCUUAUCAGCUAGAGAAGAUAGGAAGGAAGAUUGCCGAAAAGUGUGAAGGUCUUCCUCUUAUGAUUGUGGCGGUGGCUAACCUCUUACGUGGAGAAGAGAGGAACCCCGAGUAUUGGAAUGACGUAGUAGAGAAAAAGAACUCGGUUUUUAUGGAUGCGUAUGGUGCAAUAUCUAAGGUGUUGUAUCCAAGUUUUGAGUACCUAGCUCAAGUGUUGAGGCCGUGUUUUUUCUAUAUGGGAGUUUUUCCUCAAGGUUAUGAGAUCUUGAAAUCAAAGGUGGUCAUAAUGUGGGCUGCUGAGGGAUUUCCUGAGCCAUUGGGGUGGCAAACUGCAAAUGAUUACAGUGAGCAAUGUUUGAGAGCUCUUAUUUACAAUAAUCUUGUUUUGCUUCGCAAUGGAAGCACAACUUGGAAUUUUACAUCAUCUGGAGUGAAAUCUUGCUUGGUUCAUACUUCUGUGUGGCAUGUAUGCAGAAGGGAAGCUAAGAGAAACAAGUUUUUCCAUAUUUUAGAUAAGUGUGGUGAUGAUCUUGAAGAUGGUAUAGAAGGGCAACGGCGAUUGUCCAUCCAUAAUAACAUUUUAUUUGGCAUCAAAGAUGUUCAUAACUUGAUUGAGGAUAGUUGUGCAUCUACUGCUCGUUCUCUCUUGUGUUUUGGUCCAUACUGUCGUUAUCAAGUUCCAGUUUGUUUUGGUUUGAGGAUGCUGAGGGUGCUCGAUGCUCUUACAAUCCGUUUCUAUGAGUUCCCUAUUGAAGUAGUGAUACUAGUUCAGUUAAGGUACCUUGCCCUCACUUGUGAUGGGAAUCUCCCUUCUUCCAUAUCCAAACUUUGGAACCUUCAGUUCUUGAUUGUAUUCCGACAUCUUAGCAUCAAACCUUUUGAGGCUCCUUCGUAUAUGCCUAUGGAGAUAUGGGAUAUGAAGGAACUGAAGCAUCUUCAGAUUAUGGGAAGCGAUCUACGAGAUCCUUGUGGCGCUUCCUUACCUAACCUCUCAACACUUUUAGAUGUGAGUGCUCUCAGUUGUAGAGAGGCCGUUUUUGAAGCUAUUCCUAAUCUAAGGAAGUUAGGAGUCCAAAUUGAGUCGGAACCUGAUGCUGCUGAGCCGUUGAGUUUCCUUGAUCGAAUUUCCAACCUCAAGAAACUCCAGAUACUUAAAUGUGUAGUCGCGAAUCCUGACAUGUCUGCACAUCUUCUUCCUCCGGAUCCUCUUUCAACGUCGUUGUCAGUUCUUAAGAAGUUGCAUUUGGGUGGCUUGGGAUACUCUUGGGAACAUAUGAGUGUGAUAGGAUCAUUGCCGAAUCUUGAAGUCCUCAAAUUGCGAUGCUAUGCCUUUCAAGGCCCGACAUGGAUUAUAGAAGAGAAAAGAUUUCCAAAACUUGGAUAUCUUGUGAUUGAAGAUACUGAUCUGGUGCAGUGGGAAGUGAGAGAGGGAGGCUGCCCAAAACUAUACUCUUUGAGCAUAAAACAUUGCCAUUUGUUAGAAGAGAUUCAUGGGAGAUUUGGUCAUAAUAUUGGAAAAAUUGAGGUAGUUGACAGCAACCCUUCAGUUGAGACUUGUCUGAAGCAAAUAAUAAAUGCUUACUACUCUCAACUGGAAUUUUAUGACCCCAGUAUUUGUUUUCACUACUCAUGGGUUGAUAAGAAGCUCAAGUCAUGAGUCAUGCUCCCUAAUCCCUAUUAUAACCUUGUUUUCUGAGAUAUUGUAUUUUAUAAUAUACUCAUGUUUAAAAAUUGUUCUUAUUUGAAUGUAAUGUGUAUGCGAGUGACUGUAGAUAUAACGUGUAUGUGUUUUUUUGGUUAAUUGCUUUAAAAAAGUCACUAAUUAUAUAUUCUCUCAAAUUUCUCUAGUUCUGCCAGAGAGAGAGAACAAAAUAAAGAGAGGAGGUGAGAAAAUUGACAGAGGGAUGGCUGCUUACGCUAGUCUGACUUGCCUUAAGCAUACAAUUCAUCAUCUUCAAAUAUCUUCUCAAAUCUCAUUCGUUCCCCCUUCCCCAGAAAUCAUAGAAUCUGUAAAUAACGAGCUACANCAACAGAGCAAUGCGGAACAGAAAACCUACUCUGAUUCAGAUCUACUGCUGAAAAUUAUUGGAAUAUUAUACUGUCUUCUGCCGCAAUUCGAUGGCAGAAAUUGUAUUUUAUAAUUCGAAUACUACACAGUUUCGCGGCUUUGAGAAAUGAAACAGUGAUAAUUCGAAAAAUCUUUGAACAUAACAAAUUUGAAGAAUUCGAAUUAGAUGACGUAAACGGGUUUUUGUUUGAUAUAGACGAGUCUACGUCGGUUAUGUAUAUGAUCUGCCUACAUAUCUCUAUAUAUAUUUGACUUUUAACUAGCUUUUCUUUAGUUGUUUAAUGGGUUAAUAACUAUUGGUUCACGAACUUACCUCAAUUUUACGAUUUUAAUGAAUCUUACGAUUUUAAUGGAUUGAUAUGUGAAAGUCUUUGUUAUAUAUUAUUCCGCGACAUGAAAAUUAAGAAAUAUAUAAAAAAUACAUAAAAUAAGUUGGUAAAAAUUGAAUAAUCCCUCCGUUCCUGAAAUAAGUUCAUCUUUUUUUUCAUUUUGGGACGUCCCCAAAUAAGUUCAUCUUUUUCUUUCUAUUUUUGAACAACUACCCCACCACUAAUAAUACUUUAUUUAUUCUUAUUUUUCACUUUUUCACCACUCUCAAUACUAAUUAUACUCACUUUUUCACCUUUUCAUCACUCCCAAUACUAAUUAUAACAUAUUUUUCUCCACUAUCAAUAUACUUUACCAUUUUCCUUAAAAUUUGUGCCGUCCCCAAAGAAGAACUUAUUUUGGGGACGGAGGGAGUAUUUAUAUUGCGACGUUCAGAAAGAAAAAUGGGACAUUACUAUUGAGAGAUGAAGGGAGUAAUAUAUUGAGAGAUGAAGGGUGUAAUAUGUUAUCUUAAAGAAUCAUAUAUUAAAACAAAAUGUUCAACAAGAUAAUGUUAUGAUUUAUUGAAAUGGAACCAAGAGUAUAUUUUAUAAGAAAUUACGUUAAAAUUACAAAAUGCAACAAAAUUCAAGCAUGAAUUAUCAGUUAACCAUUAUCCUUUAAUUAGCUUUUAUUAGGGGAUUUAAUUUAGCUAUUUUUAAUAGUUAAGAUUUUAUUCUCUCAAAUUUAGAAAGCUAAAGAAAAGUGGUCAAGUGACAUGGCUGCAAAUAUACUUAAUAAGAAAAAAAAAAAAAACUAUAUAUCAAAAGGGUAUUUAUAUACACUUUACUAAAUUUGGUAGAGAGAAAGAGAUGGCUGCUUACGCCAGNNNNNNNNNNNNNNNNNNNNNNNNNNNNNNNNNNNNNNNNNNNNNNNNNNNNNNNNNNNNNNNNNNNNNNNNNNNNNNNNNNNNNNNNNNNNNNNNNNNNNNNNNNNNNNNNNNNNNNNNNNNNNNNNNNNNNNNNNNNNNNNNNNNNNNNNNNNNNNNNNNNNNNNNNNNNNNNNNNNNNNNNNNNNNNNNNNNNNNNNUCAAGUGACAUGGCUGCAAAUAUCUUAAUAAGAAAAAAAAAAAAAAAACUAUAUAUCAAAAGGGUAUUUAUAUACACUUUACUAAAUUUGGUAGAGAGAAAGAGAUGGCUGCUUACGCCAGUGUGAUUUCGCUCAAGCAUACAAUCAAACGUCUCCUAAAUUCAUCUGAAAUCUUAGUUGCUUCCCCCAUCUCCAGAGAUCAUAGAAUCUGCAAGCAACGAGCUUCAAUCGUUACGGAAAACUCUCAUAAGAUUGGAUCGCGGCAGCAAGAGCAGCAGCAGGAAGAAGAUCAACGCUUUGGACGAGCAAAUCAGAGAGGCAGUAUAGCAAGCUAGAAGAACUUGACUCGAAUCCCAUCUCUCAAAUCAGAUUCUUUCACAAUCCGAAGAAGAAAUUACCGAAGAUGGGAUUCAAUUCUCCAUAGAUCUGCAGGAAUCAGAGCACGAGAUUCUGUGCCUCGUCGAAGCGUUGAAGGAGAUGGAGCUGGACUACAUCAAAGAAUUAGACAACCCAGAAGUCGAAGAAGAGGAAGAUGAUGAUGGUGAUGAACUUGUUGUUUCCACAAGAAUUGAUUCUUGUGGGAAUGAGUCGAAGAUGAUUGGAUUAUCCGAUAAAUUUCUGGAAAUUAAAGACCGGCUAAAACGUGUUGAUGGGCUCCAUCUGGUGACGCCGAUAACCGGGAUGGCAGGCAUCGGUAAGACUACACUUGCUAAUGAAAUUUUUAGCGAUUUAGAUAUUUCAGAACAGUUUGAUCUUCGAGCUUGGGUGGCAGUAAGUAGGAAAUGGCAGUUGAAAGAAAUCUUACUUGCCAUUCUAGCUCAAGUUGAUGCUGACAUGGUUGAGAUGAUUAUGGAUGAAGAAGUGAAAAAUAUAGGUGAUUAUUUGAAAGAGAGUUUGAAAGGUAAGAGGCAUCUAAUUGUGUUGGAUGAUGUGUGGGACAAACAAGUUUGGGAUGAGUUGAAAAAUAGUUUGUUUAAAGAUGAUAAUAAUGGAGGGAAAAUCUUGAUCACAACUAGGUUAGACCAAGUAGGUCGAGGUGCUAGCAAUCCUGUAUCAGGAAUUGUGAAAAUGAGGUUGUUGAAUAAAGAAGAAAGUUGGGAUCUUCUUCGUGAGAAGGUUUUUGGAGAAGAGUUAUGCCCUUAUCAGCUAGAGAAGAUAGGAAGGAAGAUUGCCGAAAAGUGUGAAGGUCUUCCUCUUAUGAUUGUGGCGGUGGCUAACCUCUUACGUGGAGAAGAGAGGAACCCCGAGUAUUGGAAUGACGUAGUAGAGAAAAAGAACUCGGUUUUUAUGGAUGCGUAUGGUGCAAUAUCUAAGGCGUUAUAUCCAAGUUUUGAGUACCUAGCUCAAGUGUUGAGGCCGUGUUUUUUCUAUAUGGGAGUUUUUCCUCAAGGUUAUGAGAUCUUGAAAUCAAAGGUGGUCAUAAUGUGGGCUGCUGAGGGAUUUCCUGAGCCAUUGGGGUGGCAAACUGCAAAUGAUUACAGUGAGCAAUGUUUGAGAGCUCUUAUUUACAAUAAUCUUGUUUUGCUUCGCAAUGGAAGCACAACUUGGAAUUUUACAUCAUCUGGAGUGAAAUCUUGCUUGGUUCAUACUUCUGUGUGGCAUGUAUGCAGAAGGGAAGCUAAGAGAAACAAGUUUUUCCAUAUUUUAGAUAAGUGUGGUGAUGAUCUUGAAGAUGGUAUAGAAGGGCAACGGCGAUUGUCCAUCCAUAAUAACAUUUUAUUUGGCAUCAAAGAUGUUCAUAACUUGAUUGAGGAUAGUUGUGCAUCUACUGCUCGUUCUCUCUUGUGUUUUGGUCCAUACUGUUGUUAUCAAGUUCCAGUUUGUUUUGGUUUGAGGAUGCUGAGGGUGCUCGAUGCUCUUACUAAUCGUUUCUAUGAGUUCCCUAUUGAAGUAGUGAUACUAGUUCAGUUAAGGUACCUUGCCCUCACUUGUGAUGGGAAUCUCCCUUCUUCCAUAUCCAAACUUUGGAACCUUCAGUUCUUGAUUGUAUUCGACAUCUUAGCAUCAAACCUUUUGAGGCUCCUUCGUAUAUGCCUAUGGAGAUAUGGGAUAUGAAGGAACUGAAGCAUCUUCAGAUUAUGGGAAGUGAUCUACGAGAUCCUUGUGGCGCUUCCUUACCUAACCUCUCAACACUUUUAGAUGUGAGUGCUCUCAGUUGUAGAGAGGCCGUUUUUGAAGCUAUUCCUAAUCUAAGGAAGUUAGGAGUCCAAAUUGAGUCGGAACCUGAUGCUGCUGAGCCGUUGAGUUUCCUUGAUCGAAUUUCCAACCUCAAGAAACUCCAGAUACUUAAAUGUGUAGUCGCGAAUCCUGACAUGUCUGCACAUCUUCUUCCUCCGGAUCCUCUUUCAACGUCGUUGUCAGUUCUUAAGAAGUUGCAUUUUGGUGGCUUGGGAUACUCUUGGGAACAUACGAGUGUGAUAGGAUCAUUGCCGAAUCUUGAAGUCCUCAAAUUGCGAUGCUAUGCCUUUCAAGGCCCGACAUGGAUUAUAGAAGAGAAAAGAUUUCCAAAACUUGGAUAUCUUGUGAUUGAAGAUACUGAUCUGGUGCAGUGGGAAGUGAGAGAGGGAGGCUGCCCAAAACUAUACUCUUUGAGCAUAAAACAUUGCCAUUUGUUAGAAGAGAUUCAUGGGAGAUUUGGUCAUAAUAUUGGAAAAAUUGAGGUAGUUGACAGCAACCCUUCAGUUGAGACUUGUCUGAAGCAAAUAAUAAAUGCUUACUACUCUCAACUGGAAUUUUAUGACCCCAGUAUUUGUUUUCACUACUCAUGGGUUGAUAAGAAGCUCAAGUCAUGAGUCAUGCUCCCUAAUCCCUAUUUAUAACCUUGUCUUUCUGAGAUAUUGUAUUUUACAAUAUACUCAUGUUUAAAAAUUGUUCUUAUUUGAAUGUAAUGUGUAUGCGAGUGACUGUAGAUAUAACGUGUAUGUGUUUUUUUGGUUAAUUGCUUUAAAAAAGUCACUAAUUAUGCCUGAUUUUGGUUUUCUAACAUGUUUUAUACUUCCUCCGUCCCAGCUUUUUGUAUCCACUUUUAGUAGUAUUUACUACUAAAAGUGGAUACAAAAAAUUGGGACGGAGGAAGUAAAUUGUUAUUGUUAUUGUUAUAAUAAUAAUAAUACCAAUUUUUGGGUUUUUAGCAAAAUAAGCACAUUAAAUAAUAUUUUAACGACGUCAUUAUAAUCUCAAUACUUAUAUAUUACAUCAUUUAUAUGCUCACAUCAAACUUUCUAAAAAAUCGUCACAUUAUUUUUUUAGUUUGUCGCAAAAAUUUAAAUAUGUUUAUUUUAUUAUAAAUUGAAAAGUGGUGUUAUUGUGAGUGAAAAUUUAAAAUGUCAUAUUUCUUAAGUUCUAUAGUAAAAAUGUCAUCUUUUAUAAACAUAAGCAUUCUAUGCCAUAUUCUUUAAAUACGCUUUUAUUUGAUGGUUUGCUUGGUUUUCGGUGAAAGUCUUAUACAUUUGACCGAUUUGACAGCUAUCAAUCAUAACAGUCAACGAUUUGACAACUAUCAGUCAAGAAUACAUAUGAACAAUGGGUGGCUAGAUCAUGUGUCCGCCUGGACGGACACAUGAUUUUAUCGGUCGGACACAUGAUCUGGGAGAUUAUGUGUCCGACCGAUAAAAUCAUGUGUUCAGUCGGUAAAAUCAUGUGUCCGCUCGGGCGGACACAUAAUCUAGCCACCCACCGGUCAUAUGUACUCUUAACUAAUAGCUGUCAAAUCGUUGAUUUUUAUGAUUGAUGGCUGUCAAAUCAAUCAAAUGUGUAAGACUUUCACAAAAGAUCAAGCAAAUUCAUCAACAUCAAAGUGUAAAAUAGGUACUUCAUAUAAUUAGGGCAUAGAAUGCUUUGUAUGAUGAUUUAGGACAUUUUUACAAAAAAAAAUUAAGGAAGUGGACAUUUUUGCCUAUUAACACUGUUAUUAUUACAAUAAUUUAUGGAGUAUAUGAAAAGAAUAAGUCAAAGCUCUCAAUUUUUUUGCUAUUAAACCUUUAUUUUUUAAUUAUAUAUUCUCUCAAAUUUUCUCUAGUUCUGCGAGAGAGAGAGAGAGACGUCCCCUCCAAAAACAAAAUAAAGAGAGGAGGUGAGAAAAUAAACAGAGGGAUGGCUGCUUACGCUAGUCUGACUUGCCUUAAGCAUACAAUUCAUCAUCUUCAAAUAUCUUCUCAAAUCUCAUUUGUUCCCCCUUCCCCAGAAAUCAUAGAAUCUGUAAAUAACGAGCUACAGUCCUUACGAAAAACUCUCUUAAGACUGGAUCGCAGCAGCACGAAGAAGGCCAACGCUUUCGACGACCAAAUCAGAGUCGCAAUCUGUAAAUUAGAAGAUGUGCUCGAGUCGCAAUUCUCAAAUCGGAUUCUCUCACAAUAUGAAGAAGGGAUUAGCAGAAAUGGGAUUCAAUUCUCCAUCGAUCUGCAGGAAUCGGAGCACGAAAUUCGUUUACUCGUGGAAACGUUGAAGGAGAUGGAGCAGGAAUACAUCCAGCAAUUAGACAAUCCUAAAUUGCUCGAAGACGCCGACGAUGAUGAAAUUGCUGUUCCAUUAAGAAUUCUUCCUAGUGGAAAUGAGUCAAAGAUGGUUGGAUUGUCUGAUAAACUCCUCGAAGUUACACAUCGGUUGGAACGUGUUGAUGGGAAUCAUGUGGUGAUCUCGAUAACUGGGAUGGCCGGCAUCGGUAAGACUGUACUUGCUAACGAAAUCUUCAAUGAUUCCAACAUUUUGGAACGCUUCAAUUUUCGUGCUUGGGUGACAGUAGGUAGGAAAUGGCAGUUGAAAGAAAUCUUACUUGCCAUUGUAGCUCAGGUUGAUGCUGACAUGGCUGAAAUGAUCAUGGAUGAAGAAGUGAAAAACAUAGGUGAUUAUUUGAAAGAAAGAUUGAAGGGUAAGAGGCAUCUCAUUGUGUUGGAUGAUGUGUGGGACAAACAAGUUUGGAAUGAGUUGAAAAAUAGUUUGUUUAAAGAUGAUAAUAUUGGAGGGAAAAUCUUGAUCACCACUAGGUUAGACCAUGUAGGUCGAGGUGCUAGCAAUAAUGUAUCAGGAAUCGUGAAAAUGAGGUUGUUGAAUAAAGAAGAAAGUUGGGAUCUUCUUCGUGAGAAGGUUUUUGGAGAAGAGUUAUGCCCUUAUCAGCUAGAGAAGAUAGGGAAGAAGAUUGCAGAGAAUUGUGACGGUCUUCCUCUCACGAUUGUGGCGGUAGCCAACCUCUUAUGUGAAGCAGAGAGGAAGCCCGAGUACUGGAACGAGGUAGCUCUCAAGAAAAACUCGGUUUUUGUGGAUGCAUACAAAGCUAUAUCAAGAGUAGUAUAUCCAAGUUACAAGUACUUGCCUCUAAGGUUGAAGACGUUCUUUCUCUUCAUGGGAGUUUUUCCUCAAAAUUACGAGAUCCCAAAAUCCAAACUCCUCACUCUGUGGGCUGUUGAGGGAUUUCCUGAGCCACUACGAUGGCAAACUGCAAAUGAUUACAGUGAGCAUCUUUUGAGAGAGCUUAUUUACCAUAAUGUUGUGAUGCUCUACCGUCAAUGCACAGUUUGGAAUAGAAAAACAACUGGAGUGAAAACUUGCGGUGUUCAUACAGUUAUGUGGCAUUUAUGCAACAAAGAAGCUAAGAAAACUAAGUUUUUCCAUACUUUUGUCAAGUAUGGUGACGUUCUUGAAGAUGGUAUGCAAGGCCAACGGCGAUUAUCCAUCCAUAACAACAUUUUAUUCAGCAUCAAAGAUGUUCAUAACUUGAUGCAGGAUAAUUGUGCAUCCACUGCUCGUUCUCUCUUAUGUUUUGGUGCAUACUGUCGUUUUGAAGUUCCUGUUUGUUUUGGUUUGAGGUUACUGCGGGUGCUUGAUGCUCUUACAAUCCGUUUCUACGAGUUCCCUAUUGAAGUAGUGAACCUUAUUCAGUUGAGGUAUCUUGCCCUCACUUGUGAAGGGGAUCUCCCUUCUUCCAUAUCCAAACUUUGGAGCCUUCAAUUCUUGAUCAUGUUCGGCAUCUUAGCAUCAAGCCUUUUGAGGAUCCUUCAUACAUGCCUAUGGAGAUAUGGGAUAUGAAAGACUAAAGCAUCUUCAGAUUGUGGGAAGCGACCUACGAGAUCCCUGCGGGGCUUCCUUACCAUACCUCUCAACACUUUUUAGAUGUGAGUGCUCUCAGCUGUACCGAUGCCAUUUUUGAAGCAAUUCCUAAUCUAAGGAGUUAGGCAUUCAAAUUGAGUCAGAGCCGGAUGCUGCUGAGCCAUUGAGUUUCUUUGAUCAAAUUUCUAAUCUGAAAAGACUGCGAAUACUUAAAUGUGUUGUCGCGAAUCCUGACCUCAUGUCUGCACUUGCUCUCCGGCCGAAUCCUCUUUCUACAUUCCCAUUAGUUCUUAAAAAGUUGCAUUUGAGCGGCUUGGGCUAUCCUUGGGAGUGUAUGAGUAUCAUUGGGUCAUUGCCGAAUCUUGAAGUCCUCAAAUUGCGAUGCUAUGCCUUUCAAGGUCCGACAUGGAUUGUAGAAGAGAAAAGAUUUCCAAAACUUGGAUAUCUUGUGAUUGAAGACACUGAUCUUGUUCAAUGGGAAGUUAAAGAAGGAGGAUGUUCAUCACUAUACUCCUUGAGCAUAAAACAUUGUCACUUAUUGGAAAAGAUUCAUGGGGCACUUGGUUUUGGGUUAGAUUUUGGAAAAAUUGAAGUCGUCGACAGCAACCCUUUGGUUAUGACUUGUCUAAAGCAAAUUACAGAUGCUUACUCCCAUUCGGAAUUUUAUCAUCCUAGUAUUUAUGCUCACUCUUUUUUUUUGAUGAAAUUACAUUAUAAAUAAUACAACCCACACACACACACCCCACCUAGUGGUUAUUGUGGCCGAAAGUACUCGAACCUGUGAGGUCUUGGACAACAGGCAACCACCCCAACCACUAGGCCAUCCCAAGGGGACAUUUAUGCUCACUCUUCAUGGAAUGAUGGGAAACUCAAGUAAUGACUCUCUUUAUUGCUACUUGUAUUUUCUGUUAUAGUACUAUGUUUUCAUUUUCAUCUUUGAAUUUUUAUUUGUUUUGGUUAAUGUAAAUGUAAUAUUUGUACGUUCGUAAAUCGUAUAUGUAUACCGUGUUUGUAUGUGUAACUACAUUUUCAUAACAAACUAGUAUUUGCACCUAUUGCAAUGCGGGAAAAUGUUUUUAUAUUUUUAUAUUUAUAUAAAAUUAAUAUCAGUUCAUUAAUUAUGAUACUUAUAAAUAUAAUAAAAAAUUAGUUUUAACUGAAUAUAUUUGAGAUGAAUAUUGAAAAAAUAAAAAAUAAUUCACAAUAAUAAAAUUUGAUAUUAUGUAAAUGCAAAAGGCUAAGUUAACAUAAUUUAAAAAUAGAUUUAUUUAAAAUAGAUGAGAGACGAGAGAGAAUUUUUUAAAAUUUUAAUCUAUAAUACUCGAUUAAUCAAAUAUUAGUAUAUUUUACGCUUGUCGUAUAAUGAAAGUUUAUGUCGAAUUAAAUUAGACAAGAUAUAAAGAGUGGAAUGAAGAGAAAAGUACUCCUUAAUUUAUACACUAAUCACAAGUUUAAUGAAGUGCGGACGAUGCUUAUUUCAAUCCGCUAGUUGAACUUCCGCACUAGAAAUUAAAAAAUAUCAACGGGUGUACAGCCGUUAAAGGAAUCUGCACUUUUCCAAUUUGGGGGUAACGCGUUACAGAAUGGCUAAAUCAGGGUAGUAGCAAUAUUUUAAAAUCAACGUCAGAUUCCUAAACUCAAUUAUCAUCCAACUUUUCUCAUCUCUAUUGUCCUCGUACGAGUGGAUAAAAUUUACUCUAUAUUCAAUUAUAUAGACUUAUUUUACUUUUUAUAAAAGGUAAUGCAUUUUUAAAUCAUAUAUGAAUAUAUCUCUAUUUAACUAGAGAUAUUUUGAUGGACAUUUUAACUAGCUAAUAUAAAUUUGAUAAAACUAUAUUGUUGAGAUAUUGAUUGUUAAUUUGACUUAUACAACUAUGAAAAAUAUCUUUAUUUUAACCCUUAUACUAUUGGUGAGAUUCAUUUUAUAUGAGUUAAAAAAUUUAUGAUUUUUUUUAAUUACUAUAAAAUAGUACUAAUUUUAUUAAAAUUUUAUAAUAUAAAAAGAAAUUCAAUUUCAAAAAUUAUAAAUUAUUUAUAUUUUUUACUAAUUUAAUUAAAUAACUAUUAACGUGUAUUUUAUGCGAGCAAAACUAACAUUUAUCAAUAGUAUAGGCAAAUUAAAGAUUUAUUAAUUUAAUUAAAUAAUUAUUAUUAGCGUGUAUUUUUAGAGAAGCAAAACUAGCAUUUAUAAAUAGUAUAGGCAAGUUAAAAAACACAAUCACAUUCACCACAGUUGAUAAAUAGCUGAAAACAAUAGUUUUUUAAUUUAUUGAUACGACAGAAAACACACAACUCACAUUAUGUUUCGAACUAGAGUUCCCGAUCACACAACAUCAAAAGUAGAGAAUAAAACAAACAUUUUCAAAAACAAAUUUAAUCUCAAACGAUUAAAAUUGCAGCAUUUAUUUGAAGAGCAAACAGAAGACGAGACAUCAGGCUGCACCAGCGAAAUAAGGCGUCUCCGUUGAACUUUAAUAUGCAUUAACCCACUGCAUAGUUUAAACACUCAUCAGCAAUGAAAUUCAGUGUAUUGUUAAUUUGUCAUGUGUUGAAAGGAAGAAUUGCAGGGUACAUACCUAGUAAGAGUAAGAUAGUCUUUCUCUUGAUCAAUGGCUCGAAUCAAUUAGGUUCCUGCCCACAUCCCGGGCCGAUUUGGAGCUUGAACCGAACCCCCACUUUGGGUUUCCGCUGUUCCUCCUCAGCCCUUUUCACCUCCAUGAUCCUCUUGGCAGAGUCGACUGCUGGUUUGCGAAGGCGCUCAAUUUCCAAAAACUCCAAGUAGUUACCCAACUCAACUGGAAUAUGUUCGAGUUUUUCGCAGUUCUUAAGCACGAGACAGCUAAGACAAGGAAAACUAUCAGCAGAAACCACCCACACAACUAUAUCUGCAUUUGUGAUGAUCAGGACUUGAAGACUUUCGAAAACACUAGCAGCAGCAUUCCAGGAAGUUCCACUACAUGCAUUUUCUUUCAACUUAAGAACCUCCAAGCUGUUGAUCUCAGCCAAUGUGGACAUAUGCUCCCAAUCGAGGAAUGUAUUCGAUAGUGUCAGCCUUUUGAGGUUCGGAGGGAAACAAUUGGACUGAGGGAGGCAGCGAGGCGAGGUUCAGAAUCAGCGAGUAGAUCAUUCAUCAACUUCAGCUUUUCAAGACGACUCAAUUUUUCCAUGGACAUGGUUUUAAAAAGAGAGGCAAGUUUCCCACGAAUUCCCAAUUCCUUGAGGUUGCAGGCCUUUUCACAUACCUUUGCCGUGCAAGAUUCAGGCGCCAAUCUGCUCAGUGUUUGCAGGUUUUCACCGCCUGCACCAUCCCAUUUUGGGUCCAAGACUAUGGCUGCUUUCAACUUGAGAUGCCUCAUACGAUACAUCUUCCAUAUAUUUGCUUUCAUGGUAAUGGAACGUGACUUUGUCUCGACUACAAGAGUUUGUAGGUUCCAUAGCUGGGAGAGGGGCUCUGGAAGAAGAGUGAGAGUCUCAAUGUGCAGAGUGACAUAUCUCAAAUGAAUAGUUUGGUCACCUUUGCAGGAAAUUGAUGGAAUCUGAUAGAUAUUGACUCCAAAACUCUGAGCAAAAUGAAGGCAUCCGGGAUGGUUGAUAUGUAUCUAGCAUCCAACUUGACAGGCUCCUUGUAGAACAUAGGAACGAACGACGGAGGACCGUUCAGUUUUUUAGAGAAUAAGGUAGUGAGAUCAGAAUGGAAACAAAGACGAUGGAACUUUUCAACAUCAGAAACUGAGGUUCAAGUAUUCCUUCCUUAUUUUUCCUUAUCUCUCGGAAUAAGUUCUGCUCCACAGCGAUCUCUUUGCAAAAUUCACGAAUCAUAUCAUGAACACGACAUGUUUUUAUUUCGCCCAUUAGGUUUUUCUGAUCAAGCAUGAGUAAGUUCCUGCUGACAAGAUCAUUUAAAUUUUCUCUGCAGCUUUCUCCAAACUUGUUUCUUUAGGCCGCACAAAUCCCUCUGCAAUCCACAAGCGUGUCAGCAUCCAAGCUGGAACCACGUGUUCUUCAGGAAACACAGCCAUAUAGAGAAAGCAUUCUCUCAAGUAAUCAGGCAAUGUUUUAUAACUCAACUCCACAGCAUCUGAUAUGCGUUUCUCCUCGUUAUUCUGUGCAAACUUGCUCACAUUUUCAGACACAGUUUCCCAUUCCCUUUUGAGAAGACGGGGUACAUGCGUUUUCACGAACAGAUCCACAAGAAUACCUCCAACCACCACAACUGUCAACGGCACUCCAUGACACUGUUUGGCUAUUUUCAUUCCAAUGCCUACCAACUCACGAAAGCAAUCUUCUUCAUUCCCAAAUACCUCCAACUGGAGCAGUUUCCAACUUUCAUCGUCUCUAAAGAAACGCAGCUGUGGGGCUCUGUGCUGAAGUGGCUAACUUUAGCUCGUUGACCAACAGUCAACAGACGACUGGUGAUCAUGACUUUACUCAAUUUAUUGCUACUAGGCAACACAUUUUGUAUGACUUCCCAGUCUCAGGCCUCCACACAUCAUCCAUUACCAACAAGAAUUUCUCUUUGGACAGGCACCCACGAACUGACUGCGCUAAUUCCUCAUCACUGAGGCCAGACAUGUCGUUGCUGGUGAAUUUUCUCAGAAUGUUGAGAAACACAUCCCGACUGUUGAACCUCUGAGAAACAUAAACCCAAAUGCGGACUGGGAACUGAAAACAGAUUUGUUCGUUCUCAAAAAUCUUCCACGCCAGCGUUGUCUUCCCCAAGCCAGGCAUACCGAUGAUGGAGAUUACAUCAAGCUUCUCCUUCUCAUCCAUGAGAUAGCCUAUUAGUUUUUCUUCCUCGUCUUCGAAACCCACCACUUUCUCUCGUCUGAUGCACUGAUCCUGAGUAAAAUGCAAGUUCUGAUACAUUAGAAACUACUGCCGUGCUGUUCGAAAUUUUUCUGAAUGAACCACUAUUAAUUCUCUAAUUGAUAGACUGAUAAAUGAACAUACAAAUCCUCAAUUAUGUUGAAAUGUAGCACACUCUUUCUUGUCUUAAGCUGUUAAUACGUAUUUACAUCAAAUACCACAUUAUUCGAACAAACUAACUUUUACCCGCAAAAAAAAUUAUCCUUCAAAAAAUUCACACUUCAAUUUCACUUCCACAAUAAACGUUCUCCCCAAUCCUUCAUCAAAUUGAUCAUACCCAAUAAUCAGUUUUCCUUUCCCCUUUCAGAACUCUCAAUUAUCAACAAAAAUAUUGUUGGUCAAUGCCCAUUUAUCUCAUACUAUAAAAUUUCGUUUUGUGCAUCAAACAUAAGGAAAAAGUGAUUAGAAUAUGCAGCAACAAAGCUAUUAAAAUAUAAUUUGUGAAAAAAGAAUUAAAAAAUCACGCAGCAUUCCUCCAACCAACAAAUCGAUCAUAACAAAUAAGCAACACACUGGAAAAAAGCAAUCGAGCUUCCGUUAAAAAACAAAAAUAAAAAAGAGAAGAAAGAAAGGGGAUCAUUUCUGCAACCAACAUUAUCCAACAAAUCACAACAAAAUCAAGCAGCGCCGCCAAAAAGAAGCAAAGGAGCUUCUUCAACAAUAGGAUUAUCGACGAUCAGAUCACUUAUAUAUAUAGUUCACUGUUCACCACCAAAUAUGGCACCUACGAGAUCUGACCAACUAAAUAGUCAAAUUAAGGCGAGAACUGAAACACACAAUUUACCUUUUUAGGCCUCGGCUGCUGUUGGUCAGCGGUGCCGGUGCCGGUGCCGGCCCCGGCCCCCGGAGGGAACAGCAUAGUUGGCUUUGACCAAGUCGAGCACCGGCUUUACUUUCUCGUCUCUGAGGGACCUAACCUCUUUGGCCAAGGUGAACUUCUUCGUGUUGAGGCGGCUAAUGGCGCCCUUGCCCUUGGCCGCCGCCAAGCACUUGUCGACGGUGUCUUCAACCUCGUAAACGACUUCUCUAAUCUGCUGCUCUAUCUCCUUGAACAGUUUCUCCUUCCGUCCUUCGCCGGCGUCGCUAAGGAAUGCCUUCAUGAUGUUUAGAUCCUUGGUGAGCUGGUCGAAAUCAUUUUUGGAGCCGGAUAACAGAUCGUUGUACCAUUUUAGCGUAUCACGCAACUCUUCCAGCAGGAAUGUAAGUGCAGUCUCCGCCAUCUGAGAUAGAGGGAGAGAGUUUCACAGAAGAGUGAGAUGAGUUUGUAGAUCGUCAACGACCAUGGGCUACUGGCGUAAACUUUAAGAUGGAAUCUCCCUUCUCCCUUCCAUCUCCUCUCCUUUUUNUUGUUUUGUUUUGUUUUGUUUUGUGAGCACUGUAUUUGCAUCCGGGGGAACACCCAACGCAUUCCUAAGUACUUUCUCUCCAUCCAUAUAUAAAAAAUAAAAAAUAAACAAAAACAAAAACCUUAAUGAUUUUACAUCCUCUUUACGUCCACAUAACAAAACUUAUUGUUCAGUAUAUUAAGAAUGAUGAAAAUAUAUUUUAGUUAGUAUUAAGAUUGAUGAAAAAAUAAAAAGUAAGAAUAAAUGAGAUAUUAGUAUUACUAGUGAGACCUUAUUUUAGUGACAAAGUUGAGACACUUAAAAACUCUCAUUUAUGAUAGAUCUUGGGUUCAAUUUUGUCUGCAUGCAAUGAUAUUUUUUCAUUUUAGGUGGUGUUGUAUUCCCACCUGCGUGCGGUGUUGUAUUGUUUGGUGUUGAAGUCUCACACGCAUGGCUUUUGUCUGCGUGACGGUGAGGUCCCGUCUGCGUGCGAGUUGCAUAAUUGAUUAUAUUCAGAUACUUAUAAUUUUCAAAAAAAUGAAAUAUUUAAAAGUAAUGAGAUAUAAUCCAAAAAUAGUUAGCAAGUUCUUUUAUGAACGUUUCAAAAAGAAAAUGUAAGAAAAAAAAAUUGUAGACGGAGGUAGUAGUAUUGAUUUUUGUGGCUUUCUUUCUUCACCCAACUUUGUUGAAUUCCGUUAUUCACUUUAUAGUUUAUAUACAUCUUUGAGCUAUUUAUUAAAAUGUGUGUUCUCUAAAUCAUAGUGCAAUUUUUAUGGACAGAGGAAGUACAAUAUAAUUAUGGAUAGUAAAUAUGGGCGUAACUAAUUUAUCGACUUAAAUUGAAUACUAUUCCCUUUCUUCUUUUAGAAAUGUGUACUAUUAUUUCUAUCUACAUGAGUUUUAAUAAAUAUUAUAGUGCUAUGAUAAUAAGAGUAUAAAAAUGGGAGUAUGUGAUAAAAUUAUAAAUAAAUUGAAAAGAUGGGCAUAAAAAGUAAAAAGUUUGUGAUGGGGUAUUACAUUUUUAAUAUAUGCACAUAUAUUGUGUCGAUUGUUAGUAAACAAAAUUAUUUUAAUAAUAAUAAUAAUACCAUAUACUGUUUUUUUUUUAGAAAUAAUUUGAACGAGUAAUUAUAUACUUUCUUCAUCCAUUAAAACUAUGGUUUGAUCAAUCAUAUAAGUGGCCUAAACCUUUUAUUAAUAUGCAUUAAUGAUUUAGUUUUUUGACUUUUUUUAGGGGAUUAAUCUGGACUGAUCGAUAUUUUAGGAUUACUUAAAUUAAUUAAAUAGUAUUAAAGCUAUAUUUGGGCUAGCUGAAUUUUAGAACUAUUUAAAUUAAUCAAAUAGUACUUAAAAAUAAUACUCCUUCUCUUCCCAAAAAAUAAUUAAGAAAAUUUAAUAAAAAUAAUGAAGUAUAUUGUGAGGAGAUAAAUACUCACAUAAGGAUAAUCUUCAUAAUGAUAAUUAAUUAUCUUGUGAGUGGAAAUAGGGUCUAUCAUGAUAAUAUGUUGUGGGAUAGAAUUUAUAGAUGAAAAUUGACUACUCCCUCCAUCCCAUAACAAAUGUCCCACUUUUUAUAAUGAGAUGUCUUAUUAUAAAUGUCACAUUCUUUUCUUGGUAAUAUAUUUGUUAAGAAAAUCGACGAAAAAAUUGCGAUGAACACAAAGGAUUUACGUGGUUCGGGCUGAAACCCUACAUCCACGGGACCAAGAAACGGAGCUUCUAUUAUUGAUUCACGAACUGAGAAUUUUACAGAAUGUUACAAGUGUUAACUAGUGUUUUUUUAUUAGACACCCAAUUUGCUCAUUAUAUAGCAAACUUUGAAAAUAACGAACUGUAAACAACCAUAAAAGAAACUGUUAUGCAAAACAGUUAUGACUUCUAGUUCUGCAAAAGGAACUUUGACUCUAGCUCUGGAGUGUUUGACUCUGCCUUGGCAACUCUGACUCUGAUAUGCCUCGGCUCUGACUCUGCCCAGAGCGGUCCCUCUGUUCUGACAGCAGCGUGAUCUCUCUUCUCUGACAGUUUCGCGAUCUCUCUGCUCUGGCAGUAGCGCGAUCUCUCUGCCCUAGCAGCAGCGCGCUCUCUCUGCUCUGAUAACCUCACCAGAGUAAACUUUACAACACCAGAGUAUACAAACUGGAUUAUAAGCUUACGAAAUCAUAAACAACAAAUCUCCACCUGAUUUCUAAGCUAAUAAUCGACAACAAUAACAAAAGCUCCAGUUCUUCCUCCGAAACAUUUUAAUUCUGUAUCAAACUUCAAAUCAGCAGAUUUACCAACUUAAGACAAUGUUCAAACUUAGCAGUAGGCAAAGCCUUAGUCAGCGCAUCAGCUGCAUUCUCCUCUGUCCCAAGUUUCUCCAUCUUCACCAAUCCUUGAUCAACUAUAUCUCUUAUGAAAUGCAUUCUGACAUCUAUAUGCUUAGAUCUCUCAUGAAAAGUUUGAUAUUUCAUAAGAUACAAAGCACUCUGACUGUCACACUUCAAAAUUACAGAACUUUCCUCAAUACCAAAAUCGUGCACUAAUCCUUUGAGCCACACAGCUUCUGUUGCAGCCAUGUACUCUGCUUCAGUGGUUGAUAAUGCAACUACAGAUUGUAGUGAAGAUUUCCAACUAACAGCUGAUCCAAAAAGUGUGAAAAUGUAACCUGACUGAGAUCUCAUGUUGUCUAAGUUGGUAGCAUAGUUAGAGUCGGUGUAUCCCAUCAGGAAAGGCUUGCUGAUGUCUCCCUUCCUCUGGAACAAAAUAGCUCUGUCCACACUGCCCUUUAGAUACCUCAGCACCUUCUUGAGAGCUUCCCAUGCUCUCUACCAGGAUCCACCAUAUACCUGCUCAUAACACUUAUAGCUUGUGCAAUGUCUGGCCUAGUGCAAACCAUUGUGUAUAUCAAGCUUCCCACUAAAUUUAAGUAAGGUAUAUUUAUCAUUUGGUGUCUCUCUGCAUCAUUCUUCUAUCUCUAUAUUUAAUAUUUAAAUAAUUUACACCAACCCAUUUUAUCUUCUACAUAUUUCUUAAUUUAUAUGUCUAAAAGUAACGAGACAUUUAUAAUAGGACGGAGAGAGUAUUUUUUAUGGACACACAAAAAUGAUAAGAAAUUUAAAAUGUAAUUGUUUAUUAAAGAUGGAUGGAGCAAUGAUUAAAUGAAGACUACAAUAUUAAAAUAAAAAUUGAUUUUAAAGUUGUAUAAUGGCCCAAUGUGUUAUAUUGAAAAUUAUAUAAGUUUUAUUGUAAAAGUAUAAAAGGUAGUAUACGAUAAAAUGAAUAAAUUUUUUUAUUGUAGAGUUAUGUUUGAAUUUAUGAAUCAGCGUAAUACUCCCUCCAUCCCACUGUAAGUAAGACCUUUUUUGGGCACGGAAAUUAAGAAAUGUGUAUUUUGUGUGUAGGUGAAAAAAUAAAAAGGUGUUUAAAGGGAAAAAUUUUUACCAAAAAAAAAAGAGUUAGUGGGACGUUCAAAAUAAAAAGAGUCUCAGAUACAGUGAGACGGAGAGUAUAAUGAAUACUGAAAAUGAGUUAAAGUUUGAAAUUGUUAAAGUUUGAAAUUGUAAGUUGUAAGUUUAAGAUGGCCUUUUCCUCACAAAAAAAAAAAAAGUUUAAGAUGACCUCAAUGUGAACGGGACCAAAAUAACAGAAAGAGCCUAACUUCUGUAGAUGAAAAUGUGAACCGACUAAAAUAACAGAAAAAAAAGCCUAACUUGUGUAGAUGAAGUAAAUGAUUGCAUGUGUUAGAAUGAUGAAUACAUUAAUUUUCUACCACCCCUCGAAGAAAAAAAAUUAAUUUUCUACAAGUAGUAUCAUUCUUUACACACGGAAGACGAGCUCUAUACUAUUUGCAUCCGUUAUGACUAUUGUCCACACACGUCUUUAGGUAGAUUGGAUUGGAGCAGAGAGAAUUAUGAUGAAGUCAAAAGUUGUGGGCGAAUUUGACAAAAUGAAAAUAUUUUAAUUCUAAACGAGAAAAUGAAUGGGAACUUUCCUUUUUAUUUUCUCCGGCCAAAAGUAUGAUGUGAUUUAAAAGACACAACUUUUUUUUAAAAUAGUUGAAAAAAGGUGUAUAAAAUAAAGAAAUUAAUUUAAUAGUAUAUUUUUUCUAAAUAUUUAACAUAAAUAAAAUAAAAGGUUAAUUAUUUAUAAAUUAACUAUACCUAAAUUUUAAUUUUUAACUUGAUCUAUUUUUUGGUCAAAAAAAUACAUAAAUUUUAUUUUUUUUAGAUUUGAUCUGACUUCAAAAGUUCGUUGAUCAAUAACUUGAUUGUCUGAAUAUAGAAAAAAUAUAGUAGAAUUUUGUGACACCACCUUUCAAACUAUUUUUUCAUCAUUUUUGGUGAUCAAAAUCCAACAAUAUAAAUAUAUGAUUAUUAGAAAGAUAACAUCAAAAACUUUUCAAUGAAACCUUCGAAUUGCCCAUCGAAAUUCACACAAUCAAGUUAUUAGUAAGAAAACUUUUGACUCAUGAUAAUUUGUAUAAAAAAAAAUUAUGAAAGUUUUAACAAAAAAUAGAUUAGUUAAGAAUUAAAAUUUAGUAUAAUUUAUGUAUUUAUAAAUAAUUAAUUCUAAAUAAAAAAUAUCACACUUUUUAUAUAUAGAUUAAAUAAUAAAAAACACACACCUUUAUGGACGUACUUAAUGCUUAAUAUUUAUAGAGUGAUAGUGAGAGAGCCGAAAGCGCACUUUGUGAGGGGAAAUGGAAAUCUUCAAGAGAGAAAGAGGGCGAGCGAACGUCACAAAUACUGGUCUGUCACUAGGGAGACUAGUUCUCUAACAUUUAUUACACACACAAGUGUGCCUACAGAAUACUUCUAAUUAAAUGUUUAAUAAGAAAAGUUAUCUAAUUUAUUCUAAAACAGUGAAACCAUGUGAUCCCCAAGUCAAAGCUGACGGUUAAUUAAAUUUCGAGGGAUAUCCAUACUAUAUUAAAAAUGGAGUUUUCAAUUUCAGAUUAAUUUCAAAUUAUUUCAAAAUUGAGUGACUAAUUUUAUAGUUAGAAUAAAAUUGAAGGUUUAUUUAUAAGCUAUAUUAUUUUUUCUUUUCUUUAACUUCUUAUUUUUCUAUUUUAUUUCUUUUUAAAAUUGUGAAAUUCGACUAAUUAUAAAAUAUUUGAUGUGCAUAUCAAAUUAAAGAUCGUGACAAGAGCUUUAAUUUGAUAUAUGUUAUGUAAAUAUUGAAUUUAAAAUAUAAAAAUUAUAUUUAUUUAAAGAUUAAACUUAAAAAAAAUCUCUCUCCUCUCUCCUCUUUUUAUUUGAAUAAAUCUAUUUCNCAAAAAAAAAAAAAAAGUUUAAAGAUGACCUCAAUGUGAACGGGACCAAAAUAACAGAAAGAGCCUAACUUCUGUAGAUGAAAAUGUGAAACCGACUAAAAAUAACAGAAAAAAAAAGCCUAACUUGUGUAGAUGAAGUAAAAUGAUUGCAUGUGUUAGAAUGAUGAAUACAUUAAUUUUCUACCACCCCUCGAAGAAAAAAAAUUAAUUUUCUACAAGUAGUAUCAUCUUUUUACACACGGAAGUACGAGCUCUAUACUAUUUGCAUCCGUUAUGACUAUUGUUCCACACACGUCUUUAGGUAGAUUGGAUUGGAGCAGAGAGAAUUAUGAUGAAGUCAAAAGUUGUGGGCGAAUUUGACAAAAUGAAAAUAUUUUAAUUCUAAACGAGAAAAUGAAUGGGAACUUUCCUUUUUAUUUUCUCCGGCCAAAAGUAUGAUGUGAUUUAAAAGACACAACUUUUUUUUAAAAUAGUUGAAAAAAGGUGUAUAAAAUAAAGAAAUUAAUUUAAUAGUAUAUUUUUUCUAAAUAUUUAACAUAAAUAAAAUAAAAGGUUAAUUAUUUAUAAAUUAACUAUACCUAAAUUUUAAUUUUUAACUUGAUCUAUUUUUUGGUCAAAAAAAUACAUAAAUUUUAUUUUUUUUAGAUUUGAUAUGACUUCAAAAGUUCGUUGAUCAAUAACUUGAUUGUCUGAAUAUAGAAAAAAUAUAGUAGAAUUUUGUGACACCACCUUUCAAACUAUUUUUUCAUCAUUUUUGGUGAUCAAAAUCCAACAAUAUAAAUAUAUGAUUAUUAGAAAGAUAACAUCAAAAACUUUUCAAUGAAACCUUCGAAUUGCCCAUCGAAAUUCACACAAUCAAGUUAUUAGUAAGAAAACUUUUGACUCAUGAUAAUUUGUAUAUAAAAAAAAUUAUGAAAGUUUUAACUAAAAAAUAGAUUAGUUAAGAAUUAAAAUUUAAGUAUAAUUUAUGUAUUUAUAAAUAAUUAAUUCUAAAAUAUAAAAUAUCACACUUUUUAUAUAUAGAUUAAAUAAUAAAAAACACACACCUUUAUGGACGUACUUAAUGCUUACUGUAAUAUUUAUAGAGUGAUAGUGAGAGAGCCGAAAGCGCACUUUGUGAGGGGAAAUGGAAAUCUUCAAGAGAGAAAGAGGGCGAGCGAACGUCACAAAUACUGGUCUGUCACUAGGGAGACUAGUUCUCUAACAUUUAUUACACACACAAGUGUGCCUACAGAAUACUUCUAAUUAAAUGUUGAGUACUGCUAAAUACACAUAAUAUGUGCGCACAUAAUGCCCUUGAAAUUUUAUUUCCUAAUUUGAAUUAUUAUUAUCACUAAAUUACCCUUAAUUAAUAUUGGAAAUUUUCUAAAGAAUUUUUUCCCUUUAUUUAUUGCAACAAUUUUGGAAACAAAAUAUUGAUAUGGCCACUAAUCAAGAUCCUAUACAUAGAAAUUGGCACUUCAUUUUAGGAAAAGAUAUAAACACGAUUUUGUUAGUUUUUUUAUAUUUAAAAUACAAUUAUUUUGAUUUAUCAUGAUCAUAUUUACUGAUAUUGUUUUCAAGAAUAAAAAUUCAUAGAUAAAAUAAUACUACGAUUUAUUUUUUUAAAUAUACUUUAACAAAUGUCACGAUAUUCCUCUAAAAUUUAAUAUACAUUAUACUAUAAUAUAGGAUAAUACUUUUUGUUUCGUUUUUCCUUUCCGUGUCCUUUUUCAUUUUUGUUUUGUUUUUUCUUUUUGUUAUUUUUAUUAAUUUAUUUUUGCAAUUAUAAUAAUUCCUUCAUAUUUUUAAUUUUUAAUUUUGAGUUCAUUAAAUUUAUUAUGAUAUAAUUUUAUUGAGUAACUGAUCGAUGUGCUCAAUGUAUUUUCAUAAUCAUAUAUAUUUUUUAAUUUAUUAUUUUGAAUUUACUAAUUUAUUUAUAAUAUAUUGUCCUAUAGCAUAUUUUUAUUGAGAUAUGGAUUGAUGUGCUCAAGGUAUGACAUUAUUCCUACAAUUAUAACCAUACAUUUAUAUUUUAUAAGUUUUAUUCUAAUUUCACUAAUUUGUUGUGAUUUAUUCAUUAACAUAUACUACAUUUAUAAAAUAAUGAAAGAAUGUAGUUAACGUAUGAGAUUAUUCUAACAUUUUAGCUAUUCUUUCCUAUUUUAUAUAAAUUCUUUUUAUUUCAAGUCCACUAAUUUAUUGUGAUGUAAUGUUCUAUAGGAUAAUUUUAUUUACUAAUUGAUCGGUGUGUUAGCGUAUGACAUUAUUUUUGUUAUUAUAGUGAUUUUUUAUGUUUUUAUUUUUAUUUUUUAAGUUCACUAAUUUAUUAUGAUAUAUUUUCCUGUAGUGUAUUUUUAGUAGUUAUCAAUCGAUGUGCUCAACGUAUGAUUAUAUUAUAGUCAUUUAUUUGUAUUUUUUUUAUUUUUACAUUAAUUUCACAAUUGUUAUGAUUUUUCAUUAACUUGUACUUUUGUAAAAUAAUCAGAGAAUGUAAGUAUGAAAUUAUUCUAACCAUUUUAGUUGCUCUUAAUUUUUUAACUUAUUAACUUAUAAUUAUUUUAAUAUUUAUUAAUUUAAGCAAAUAAUUAUUCAAUUCAAUAAAAAUGGAUCCACAUAUUAUUAUCUUAAAAAAUAUUUGUAAAUAUUCCAUUGUAAUGUGACAACUUUGUAACUUUCCUCUAUAUCUUAUAGUUAUACAAUGCACUUUAAUACUAUGUUUUUCUUUUUCUUUCCCUUCCUUUUUCAUUUUGUAUUUUGUUUUUUCUUUUCGAUACUUAUCUUUUUUUUUAUUUAAUCUAUUAUCUUAUAAUAUAAUUUUAUGUAAAUGAUGAUAUUAGACUAUUUUUCACAAUUAUAAUAAUUUUUAUUUUUUAUUUUUAGUUUCUCUAGUUUAUUAUAAUAUACUGUCUUAUAGUAUACUCCCUCCGUCCGCAAAACUUGAGCGAUUUAUUUCUGACAUAAAUUUUAAAGAGUUAGUAUUUUGUGUCUUAUGUGUGGUAGGUGAAAAAAAAAAUGAAUGAAGGGAAAAAAAACUUGUCAUAUAAGGAAAGUGCUCAAGUUUCGCGGGACGCAGGGAGUAUUAUUCUUACAAUUAUAGUAACUUCUUUAUAUUUUCUAUUUUUUUUCUAUUUUCACAAUUUCUUUAUGAAUUUUUUUCAUAUUAACCUAUACUCAUAUGAAAUUAUCAAAGAAGGUAUGUAACAAAUUCUAUUAUUCUCACAAUUAUAGUCAUAUAUUCUUAUAUUUUUUUUUCAAAAUUUUAGGUAAAUUUCACUAAGUUAUUAUGAUUUUUUCUAAUAAUAAUCCAUAGUUUUAUGAAAUAAUAAUUUAAUAUCCUAUAGUAUAGUUUUAUUGAGUAGUCAAUUUAUGUGCUCAACAUAUGAUAUUAUUCCCACAAUUAUAGUAUAUCCUUUAUAUUUUCUAUUCUAUUUAAAUUUCCUUAAUUUCUUACCCCCUCCGUCCAUGAAAGAACUUCCUAGGAGGGAGUGGCACGGGUUUUAAUAAAAUGUUGUAUAGUGUAUUGAGAGUGGAGAAAAAGUUGUAAAGUGUAUUGGGAAUUGUGAAAAAGUAUUAAUAAUUUAUUGUGUUGUUUUAAUUAAUGUUAUUUGAGUGGUGGGAAUUGUCUUAAAAGGGGAGUAUUUUUUAAGUGGUGAGGUAUUGUCCCAAAAUAGGAAAAAGUAGGAAAUUCUUUCGUGGACGUCCCGAAAUAGAAAAAUAGGAAGUUCUUUCGUGGACGGAGGGAGUAUUAUUUUUCAUUAUAACCUAUAGUUUUAUGAAAUAAUUGAAGAUUGUAGCUAGCAUAUGAUAUUAUAUUCACCAUUAAAGUACUUCAUUCCUUUUAAUUUAUACGGGGUAUUUUUAUUAUUUCAAAUUCACGAAUUCACUUUAUAUUUUGUUUUCAUUCGUAAUCGAUCAACGUAUGACAUUAUUCUCGCAAUUAUAGUCAUUCCUUUAUAUUUUCUAUUUUAAUUUCACUAAUUCAUAAAAUAUAAUAUACUGUGAUAGAAUUUUAUGAUUUAAUCCAUCAAUGCAAUGUGGUCAACUUAUCAUAUUUGUUUCUCAGAUAUAAUAAUUCAUUUCUAUUUUAUAAUGUCAUAAUAAUCAAAUAAUAUAGCUAGCCUAUUAUUAGGGGUGAGCAUCGAAUCGGACCCACUCGUCGGGACCAACGACCCGAAAAUUUUCAAAUCGUAGACCGACUCGAACCGAAUUGUAAGGGAGGACCGACCACCCAGGACCGCACCGAACCCGAAUAUCGGGUCCAGAUUGGUCCGGGUCCGACCUGCUGAAAUUUCAAAUUUUUAUUUUUCCUAUUUUACACUCAAUUUUCAGAUUUAAAACUUAAAAAAUUCCAUACAAACACAUAUCUUAGUUUCAAAUAUUCUCAAUCCACAAAAAUACAUAAAUUAAAAUCAAUCCAUUACAUAAUAAUUCAAGCACAACAAGUUCAUAAAAAGAAAUGUUAAAGGUACGGGUCGGUACAAAACUACACAGAUUACUUAAUUUACUUACAGAUAUUAGGUUUAGAUAUUAGAUGAGUUAUUAUAUUAGAUAAAAUCUAAUUUAUUUCUUAAUAUUAUUAGAAAUAUAUAAAUUAAAUAAUUAUUUUAUAAAGAUACGAGUCGGUCCGGGUUCGACGAGUUGGAGUGGAUUAAGACCUGGACCGAUCCAAAUAUUUUUCGAUCCGAAAAAUCAUACCCGAACCACACCGCAUAUGUCUAUUGAGUCGGUCUGGUCCGGACCAAACCCGUCGGUCCGACUCGAUGUAGCGAGUCUGAUUUGAGUUGUCUUAGAGAUUAUUAUAGUCAUCUAUUUAUAUUUAUUAUAUUUUUUUUUAAUUUCUAAUUACAACAAAAAAAAUAAAAACAACAAAUUAAAAAUAGACAACAAAAGAAAAAUAAAAAUAAAAAUAAAAAUAAAAGACACUAAUAAUGAGCUAUAAAUUGGAACUUAUCACUAACGGAUUCAAGCAUGUUACCUCUCAAACAUCACUCUAAUCCUUUGCUACAUUACCCAAUAGCAGUAUCCGUAGCAUAACAUUCAACAUAAUUAUUCUUAUAUUUCAAAAUAAUAAUUAUAAUAAUAAAUUUGUAAAAUAAUAAAUUUGAAUUUAAAUCUAUAUAAUAUAUGAAUUUAGAAUGUUAAGUUGAUGAGUUCAUCAAUUUUUUCAUCAAUACAUAUUAAAUCAUUAAUUAGUCAUGUAACGUUAUUGAAGAAAAAUAACUAACUAAUUAAAUAAGAAUAUGAAACAAUAAUUUGACUGCAAUUUUAAUUACUUGAUUCUUCUAGUUGAGUUUGAUCUAAUUUAUAGGAUGUAAAUCAUUGAUAAAUAAAGCUGUAUAAUGAAAAUUGAUUCAUAAUUUAAUUUAAGGAAAUAAAUAAUUUAUUAUUAAGGAAAGAUAUAAGAUUGAAAUUUGAAUUGUACAUUCCUUAAUUAUCUCAAAGGAUGAUUACGUAAAUUAGAAAUUCAAUUGAAAUUGUAUUAACUCCAUAAUUUAUGGAGAUUUAUAAAAUGACAAAAAUAUCCAAUUAUGUGCGCACAUAUUAUAUGUAUUCAGCAUUUUCCUUAAAUGUUUAAUAAGAAAAGUUAUCUAAUUUAUUCUAAAACAGUGAAACCAUGUGAUCCCCAAGUCAAAGCUGACGGUUAAUUAAAUUUUGAGGGAUAUCCAUACUAUAUUAAAAAUGGAGUUUUCAAUCUCAAAUUGAUUUCAAAUCAAUUUCAAAAUUGAGUGGUAAUUUUAUAGUUAGAAUAAAAUUGAAGGUUUAUUUAUAAGCUAUAUAUUUUUUUUCUUUUUCUUUAACUUCUUAUUUUUCUAUUUUAUUUCUUUUUUAAAAUUGUGAAAUUCGACUAAUUAUAAAAUAUUUGAUGUGCAUAUCAAAUUAAAGAUCGUGACAAGAGCUUUAAUUUGAUAUAUGUUAUGUAAAUAUUGAAUUUAAAAUAUAAAAAUUAUAUUUAUUUAAAGAUUAAAACUUAAAAAAAAUCUCUCUCCUCUCUCCUCUUUUUAUUUGAAUAAAUCUAUUUCUUUCAAUUAUCUUUUAACUUAUAUUGUUUUCUUUUUUCACAAUAUCAUUUUUUAUUAAUAUGAAUUAUUUAUUAUUAUUUUUAUUUAAACUAAAAUAUAUUUAUAUUAAAUUAUAUUAUUUUUAAUUAUAUUUAGAAUUUUUAUAUAAUCAUCAAAUGAUAAUCAUUAAUUUUGUAUAUAAUAAAAUAUAAAAAUAUUUUUCGUGAGUGCAAAUGCUAGUUUUAUUUAAAGACGAAAAGUUUGUUGCCUUUCAAGACAAAAUAAUUUUGAGUUUUUUAUAACGAGUACCCCUUGCACCGUUUUAAUACUAUUCUCUCUUUAACUUUAAAAAGAAAAAAAAAAUUAUAUCCCCUAUUAUUAUGACAAUUUGGCCUUCUCUAGUCGAACCACGAGCAUAAUCAAGGAGAUUGGUACAGCAUGAUUUAUUGAUCAAAGGGAGAACAUAAUCAAGAAAAAGCCUACUAUCAAAUACAAUGUUGCUGAGUGUAUUAUUCUAAGAUUUUACUGGACAAUUAAUCUAGUUAACCUCGAGUAGGAGACUCGUAAAUUAAUGAAUUCACCUUAAAUUGGAGGCUUGUGAAUCUUCGUAUAUGACAGGUGGAUGGAUUAAUUGAGUGAACACCAUGUUAAUGCUUGAGUGAACACCAUGUUAAUUAAUGCAUUUAAUUAGCUCAGUAAAAGUAUAAUAACUUUGUGUUACUAGCGUAUCAAUAGGUUAAAAGAGAUUUAUUUUAUAGUCACUAGAUUAAGAGAGAAUCUUAUAGACACUAGAUUAAGAGAGAAUUUUAUAGACACUAAUAAUAAAAUAAAUGAAAUAUGUACUAAUUUACGGGAGCAAUAAUUUCAAUAAGUGGUAGCAACAUGUUCAAGAGAAUUGGUCUUUUGUGCCAUAAAUAGAAAACUAGUUUGUAGCCCGUCGAAUUUCGACGGGAAUUAAUUAUUACAUAUAAAUUUUAUUAUUCUCUUCAAUAUAAAAAAGUGAAUAAAAGAUAAAUUUUUACCAAAUAAAAAAAGAUCUCAAGAUAAGUGGGGCGUCCAAAAUGGAAACAGUCGCAAGAUAGGUGGGACGGAGAGAGUAAUAAUUUUAAAUAUAAAUUUGAUAAUUAUACAAUCUGCAGAUUAUGAACUUCGUUUAUAUACUCGUAUUCGUUUUAAACUUAAUUAAAAAUAAUUUUACUACUCAUUCUCAUUCUAAAUUCAUAAUAAUAAUAUCCGCUAAUUACCCGAAUAUGCUUAAAUUUAUUAAAUAUCUAAAUAAUCAAAUAUAAAUUGUUAUGAUAAUUAAUUAUCUAUCUUAACAAAAACUCAUAACAUUUCAAAAUAAACAUUAACGAUAAAUAAUAAAAGAUUAAUAAAUAGAGAAUUAUUUAGAAUCACAAUUAGUGAAGUCUUCUGCAAAAAAUAAAUUUGGAUUCCUGAACAUCUAUAUGUGUGUGUUAACAAUAAAGAGUAUGAAUAAUAAAAACUAUACAAUUAACAAUCAAUAUAUGUCUGUUUCUGGACAUUACAAAGUAUACAUUUAUAAUAAAUAUCAUAAAUUAUAAAAGAUUAAAAAUUAAUUUAUAAUAAAUGUAGAAAUUAUACAUUAUGCGAAAUCUUUUUAGAAUUUAUAUACCAGUCAUGUCGCAAACCCAAUUCAAAAAAAAAAUUACUACCAAUUUUUGUCAAAACACGUAUAGUAAUAUCCGUUAAUUAUUCUCAAACUCGUUUAAGUUUAUAAAUAUCUAAAAAGUCAAAUAUAAGUUGUUACAAUAAUUUAUUAUCUGUCUUAUUGAAAAUCAAAAGAUUACAAACAAUUGAAAAUUUUAAUUAAGAAAUUUUUGUUGUUAAUUAUGAUAACAAUCAUUGAAUAUAUUUCUCAUAUCAAUGUAUAUAUAAAUAUGUGUUAAUAUAUAAUAGUACCCACUUUUAUAUAGUAAAAAUAAAUUUUACCCACUCAAAUAAAAACAUAAAAAAAAUACCCACUUUUUAUGUUAAAGGACUAAAUUACCCUUCUAUAUAAAUGGGCAACCCCUAAUUUCAUUUCAUUCUCUCAUUUCUCUCUCUCUCUCUCUCUCUCUCUCUCUCUCUCUCUCUCUCUCUCUCUCUCUCUCUCUCUCUCUCUCUCUCUCUCUCUCUUCUCUCUCUCUCUACCCGCUCUCUCCUCUCUCUCUCUCUCAUUCCUCAGCGCUCUCUCUCUCUCUGGCGAUUGAGGCGGCAGAUCGAAUGGAGCACGACGGUGGCGGCCGAGGGCGGCGGAUCGACUGGAGCACAACGGUGGCGGUCGAGGACGGCCAUGGCGACAUCGGGGUUGCCGCCGCGCGUUCCUCUCCUCAUCUCCAAUCUCGGCGUUGCCGCCGCGCGGUCUCUCUUUCCUUCUUCCUCUGUCUACACGCACCUCCACCGCUGUCCGCCCCCUCGCCGCGGUCGAGGCUCCGGAGAAGGUCAUCGAUCUCGGCGAUCAGAUCUCGAGCCUCACCAUCGUCGCCUCGCUCUUUCUCUUCUCUUUCUCUCAUUUUUUUCUCUCUCUCUCCUCUCGCUUCUUUCUUCUCUCUCUCCUCUUUCUCUCAUCUGGUCUUUGAUCUAUCAGUAGCAGCAACGAAUUUUGAAUUUAGGGAUGAAUUUUGAGAUGAAUUUUGAUGCCGAUGAGAAUGAUUGCCGAUGAGAAUGAUUGGAAUGAAUUUCUGCAGAUUGGAUAAAUUUCUCCCUAAUUCAAUUGAAUGUAAUCGAAAAAACAUAAAAGGAACGAAGAAAUUGAUGAAAAUCGCGCAAUUUUAUACAAAUGUUCUUGAAUUCACAACCAGGUUUAUGAAUUCACAACUGAAUUAUCAGCGUUGGUUGUGAAUUCACAAUUGAAAUAGUGUUGGUUGUGAAUUUAAGUUUCAUUGGUUGUGAAUUCACAAUUUGAAAUAAUGUUGGUUGUGAAUUCAAGUUUUAUCGGUUGUGAAUUCACAACUCGAAAUAAUGUUGGUUGUGAAUUCACGCGAAUUCACAACCAACACUUGUUAUUCACAACCAAUACUUGAAUUUAGGUGUGAAUUCGAGUUGAAUUCACAACCAGUGAACAGUGGGUAUUUGUAAAAUUUUAUAUGUAAGGGUAAAAUGGUAAAUGUGGGUAUUUUUUAAGUUUUAUAUUAGUGGGUAAAAUUUAUUUUACUAUAUAAAAGUGGCUAUUUUCAAAAUCCACUCUAUAAAUAUUAUAUAGAUCUUUUAAUGGAUCGAAUUUAAUUCAAGGUGAAAAUUGAAUUUUGGUGGUAUUUUAGGAAAAUUUAUUUUCUUAUGACAUAGUAGUUAAUUAAUUUGAAUGAGUGUGAAUAAAAAAAUUUAAUAUUUUGGAGGACAAAUUAUUUAGCAGAUGUUUAUGAAUAAUGGCUACAUGAAAGAUAAGCUAGUCUGUUUUGUAUUUCAAAUAACCAUCUAUUAGGUAUUAAAAGAAACAUACAAUCAUUAUUGAAAGAUCACACUUGAUAUAUAUGAUUCGAUUUAUAUGCGAAUACGUAAAAUUGGUCUAUAUAUAUAUAUAUAUGUGUGUGUAUAUAUAUAUAAUGUUUAUUUAGAUAUUUUAAUGGAUGGAGUUUGAUUAGAGGUGGAGACUUAUUAGAGAUGGAGACUUAUUAGAGAUUUAGAAAAAAAUAAAAAUAGAUUUUUUUAAUGGAUGGAGUUUAUAAUGUAAAAAUUGAUUAGAAAUCUAUAAAUAAAUAAGAAUGAAUGAGAAUUGAAGAGAACAGUGGGGUGGUGGCCUCACGAGAUUGAUGAAAUUAAACAUGCUGUUCGGGUUGACAUGGCUGCGAACUCUCAUCUUCGCAUGAUUUCCUAGGUUUUUUUCAUGUGGAGUUUGCUUUGGCGGGCUGGGCGGUUUUUCAAGGUUUGUUGGGACAGAGUUCGGAGUUUGGGCUGGGACGUCAGUCGUGUCUUUUUUCAGCAUCCGGGUGCGCUCGAUGCUGGGGCACUGCUGGUCGGGUUCCAUUGGUUCUCCGUGAACGACCUUCUGGGGUUGUUUAGCGUCGAGUCUUGUUGGGAAUCAACAGCUUCCGUCAUUGAUAUGUUGAUUCUUGGAGUGCUAUCUCCUUGUUUUGAGGCUUUCUGGUUCUCGGCUGUUCCUGUGUCUUCGGUUUUGUUUGUUUUUUGUUUUGUUCGUUGGCUUUUCUAUUUCUGCGCUUGGGAGCCGAGCUGCUUAGGAGCGAUGGUUAGGCCGGAGCUUCUGAAGCUGUCUCUUUUCCGCUCUCUCGCAGUUUUUGUUCUUAGACGAGUACUCUUUUUCCCUUUAAGGAUUUUCCCUCUCGGGUUUGCCUUAAACGGGUUUUAAUGAGGCUCGGCCCUUAGUUUGCUCUUUUGUGCUCUCAAGGGUUCUUAGGUUUCUUUUUUCUCUUUUCCCUUUUUAUAUAAAAUCUUAAUUUAAUAAAAAAAACAAGUGAAACCUAUUGAUUUUGGUAUAAUCAAAACUAGGAUUAGGAUAUUUCAUUAAGUUACCAACACUAAGAAGUUUCAGAUGUCCAUGAUGGGAGAAAUGAAUUUCUUUCUUGGAUUACAAGUCAAGCAGACCUACAAAGGAAUACUGAUUAAUCAGUCGAAGUACGCUAAGGAACUGAUCACCAAGUUCGGUAUUCAGCACAUAAAAUCAGUCAAGAUUCCAAUGAACACAAACUGGAAGGUAGAUCCAAGAUCGGAAGAAAAAUCUGUAUCUUCAACCCAAUACAGAGAAAUCAUUGGGUCAUUACUGUAUUUAACUGCUAGCGGACCAUAUAUCGCGUAUGCAGUCGGAGUUUGUGCAAGAUAUCAGUCAGAUCCAAAGGAAGCUCAUUUGGAUGCAGCAAAACGAAUUCUGCGAUAUCUCAUAGGCACACCCAACUUAGGUUUGUGGUAUCCAGCUGACGACGACUUCAAGCUCUCCGGAUACUCAGACUCUGAUUUUGCAGGAUGCAAAAUUGAUCGCAAAUCAACUUCGGGAACUUGUCAAUUCCAAGGCAACAAACUUAUCUCUUUGUUUUCAAAGAAACAAACUUCCGUCGCCACUUCUACAACUGAAGCUGAAUAUGUUGCUUGUUCGCUAUUUUAUUUUCACGCCGCAAGUGUACGGGUGCAAUUGUAUAUAGUGGCAAACAAGGUCGAAUCCACAGGGACUAAUGGUUAUCAAUGCCUACUCUUAAUUACUUUACUCUAUCUGGAAAAACGAAUUUUAAAGGUUUGAUUUUGGAAAACAAAUUUAAAUUGAAAUAAAGAAACACUAAAAAGAAAUCAAGCUGUGAAAAUGCGAAGUAACAGAAGAAAGAGAGUUUCCCAAGGCAAAGGUUUCAACAGAUUCUCCUAACUAACAUGUUUGAUUCAAUUAAUGAGAUAAUUCCUAAGGCAAUCUCAAAGUUAAUUCAUACCCACUCCCGUGGCAUACAAAUCGUUGAUUACAGCAAGGUUACCAUCCCUGGAUCACACUUCUAACAUGUAACUCCUAACAGUUCCUAGAAUUAAAGCCUUCACAAUUAUUAAUUCCCUUUAGAAUUAAAAUAAAUGUGUUCUAUGUUCUUAGUUCAGGUAUUAAUUUUCAUCUCCCGAUCUCAAAUUAAAACCUAUGAUAAUGCUAAAUUGGUGAUCAAGCAAUAAAGCAAGCAAUUAUAACAAGAACAUAGAAAGGAAUAUGAAUCUCAAUUAAUUAAAUCAACAGUCAGAAAUUUGAAUCAUGUUUACUCCCUAAACCCUGGGAAAAAGGGAUUUAGCCACACAUAGACAUAUGACUAUGUUCGCUAAUAUUUUUACCACGCCGCAAGUAUACGGGUAGUUGUAAUAUAUGGAAGCAAGGUCGUAUCCCACAAGGAUUAGUAGUUCAGUCUUGCUCUUGCUCCGUGUCUCACAGCUCUCAGGAAAAGUCAGAAUAUGAUAAAAGGUGUUUGGGAUAAGCUAAAUGAAGGUAUUUAAAUGCCCUAGGUCGUCUAAGCCCGAAAAUACUCCAAAAACGCGCUUUUAGUGAAAAAUCGGAAAAACGGGGCGGAACUCGGCGUCUCGCGCGGCCAGCUCGCGUGGCCGCAUGGCCAGCCCGCGCGAGAUCGCGCGGUCUCCUCGCGCGGCCGCGCGCCUGGCCCGCGCGGUGCUCCAGCAACUCCUGCUUCGUCGCGCGGCCGUGGCAUGCGGCCGCAUGCCCGGACCGCGCGACCUCCAGCGCACGCACUCGCGCACGGCCGCGUGUCCUCCGACACACGGACUUCCCGGCGCCCGUUCUUGCUCAUCCGAUGCCCGAUUUUAGCCCCGUUCGUGUCUAUGGACUCGUCACUUCGCGUACUCCACUACGCUUCAUCCAAAUCUUCAGAAAUCGAGCCCAGUAACCUGUAAAAACAACACGAGCACAGACGAGUAGUCUAUUCCACACAAAUUUAACAAUUCAAACCAAAGACACUCAAGAACUCAAUGAAAACACCCAAAAACUAUGACUAAACACGACAAAGGAGAUGAAAAAUGCAUGUAGAACAUUGCUGCGGGAAGCUAUUGUGCACAACUCCUAUAGCUAGUCCAACAACUGAAGGACUAUGGGAUCAAAGAAAAUGAAGUCUCAAUUUAUUGCGACAGCUCCAGUGAUAUUGCAAUCUCACAUAAUCCAGUUCAUCACACAAGAGUCAAGCAUAUUGCAAUCCGACAUCACUUCAUUCGUGAUCAUGUGAAAAACAAGAAUGUCUCUGUUGAAUGGAUUCCGACCUCAGUUCAGAGAGCAGACUUGCUGACCAAAGCUCUUCCUGAAGAUAGGGUCAACGAUCUUUAUGGAAGGAUCGACCUCAUCAACCCUGAAGAAUGAUGCUGUUCUUGAAGAUCACAACUGUAGUCACGAUGAUUGUUGCUCAACUAUCUGGUGCUCCUCAACUACUGACGUGGCAAUCAAAGAAGAUGAGUCUACAUUUGAAGGGGAACUUAUUCUUAUAAGUCAACCAGAAAUAGUGGUAUCGACUGACUGCAAUGAUUAGUCGAUCAGUAAGUAUCUUCAACUUACCCUGUGAAAAUCAUUUAAUUCAGUUAUGAGUCCUUGAUAGUUUUUCAAAAAUAUUUCUCUAACUGAUCAGUUUGUUUCAAAAACUUUAACUGAUUGUUGGAAAAUGAAAUAUCCGUGAAGGACAAGUACUUUUAAGAGGAUUUAAAAAUUGCUUUAACUUGUCCCGAUCCUUUACUCAAAGUAUUUCCAACCUUUUUGCCUCUGACAUGAAAAUCUUGAAAAUCUCAUUGAUUUGACAAAAUGCAAUGAUUUUUCUUACCUUUUGAAGCUUCCGUCCUCUGCAGUGACGACGGACGUGAAAUUUUUUCUUCGAAAAGAUUUUAGGCGCCUUUUUCGAAAAACUCUUCAUCUUCUGUCUUGGAAAUAUAGUCUAUUUAUGCCUCGAUGCCUUCAAUUGUUUUCUUCAAUAACUAACAUCUCUCCACAGCCUUCUCUGUGAGAAUUUCAUACUUUCAAAAGUUGCAGAAUAAUUUCGUUACGACCAAGGAGAGUUCUGACAACGAAGUCAUGGAGUGGGAGAAUGACGCUCACACACUUGGUCUUCACAGGACCCUUCCACUGGAUCUCAACGUCUCUUCAACGUCAAGCUUGUUUCUAACCUCACUUAUAUCCAGCGACAAGAGUGUCUUCCAUCCUAAUGUCCGGCGCCAAGAAGCCUCUCCGCUUCUGGAGGAUAAGGUUUGAAGUACCUCUCUCCAAAGAGGACUUCACCUGGCCUUCAGGCUUCUCUCAUAGGUCCGUAUGCAUAGCCGCGUUACAUGAAUAUCUUCAAAAUGCUAUGCACACUCUCCUUUCUUUCACACUUCUCUUAUCCAUCUCUCAGCCUCCUCCUCUUCUCUGUUUCCCUUCUCAUCUCCCUUUCCACUGGCGUCUUCCUCUUCUGCAUCUCUGGACUCAUCCACUUCUCGAAUCCUCUCACGAGUUUCUGAGACUAGGAGUUGAGUACCAUCUGAUCAUAGCUUAUAUCAUCAGCUCUCUUUUUGAUGUUGCCAAAAAAGGGAAAAGUAGAAGUCAGAGAAAAACCUUCUCAAAGUUGGUUCUCUGCAUCUUCUCGAAAGACUGAAGAUGAUAAAGCAAAAGGAUCACCAGAAGCUUCAGGAUGGUUACAGUAAGACCUCAAGUUAACGAAAAAUAAGUGUGAAAGGAACAAGCUUAGGAACAUGAAGAUGAAGAUGAAGAUCAAAGAAGUUCAAGGCACAGACAAGCAGACUGCUGGAGUCCAUGAGUUUCCAUGUGUUUUUCUUUUUCUUACUCCCUUGUAUGUUUUGCUCUGUACCUCAACUGAUUUCUCAUCAGUUAUUUUCUGUUAAUGAAAAGAUCUUCUUUUCGAUCUCAACCUGAAGACAAUAACUUUUUGUCCAGGCUCUGAUUAAUGUUUUUUAGUUUUGUCUUCAUUCAGUUUCUUUGAACUGUUCUGUUCUUCUUUCAGAGUGCAAGUUUUAGGUUCUAUUGUUAAGGAGGAAUAGUAUUCACCUUGUUUAAUAACUUGUACUUCGAGUUCAAUCGUUUUCUUGCUUAGAACUAUUGUGUGAUUUUGGCAUCAUCAAAAAGGGGGAAAUUAUUGGGAACUUAAUGAAAUAUCCUAAACUUAGUUUUGAUGAUACCAAAAUCAAUAGGUUUCACUUGUAAUAGACUAGAACUGUUCGAACUCAAGUGUUUUCUUUUUCUAGUUUAGUUGCUGUUCUGAAGACUGAAGACUGAAGACUGAAGAUGCCGACUGAUGUAACGAUUAAGGCAAAGUCAAAUACUGAUAUUUGACUUAUCGGUCGAAGGAUCAGUUUCAACUGAUUACUUAAUGUGCGCCACGUGGAUUCAGCGGACUGAUACUACAGUCAAGUAUCAGUUAAACAUUCUUCCUCGGACUGAACCUCCAACGUUCAAAGGAAGCCACGCAUUCCAGAAGUACAGUCGCAUUAAAUGCAGAGAUCUCAGGAUUGUCCUUUCUCUGCAGAGGCCAUUCUUUUUUGGUGAUUACCUUUUCAGAGAUGUCGCAUCUCCUGCUCUUUAAAGUAGUCGUUCUCACCAAACAAGGAACCUCGAAGAUUGAAGCCUUAGCCCAAUUUCAAAUUACUCUAUAAUGGAAGAAAUCUUAAAGACCAUCUCCGCCAACGGAUCUAUUCAAGACGUCUCCUAUAAAUUGCGCUCGAUGAUCACUUCAAUCUUCACCGAUUCAACAACAUAAGCUGAAACGUUGCCGAAUUCGUUACUCAGCAAAACCAAGCCUUCCCAAAGUUUGAAUCGAAGAAGAGAAUCACAAAGCCAAAAAUCAGUCACUGCUGAUUACAUACAUUCUCUUAGAACUUAGGCAAAUAUUGUAUAUCCAAAGCCUAGGUAAAACUGACUGCAAAGAACUUGUUCUUUGUGGUUUAGUUGACAAGUUUUCAAACCUCUUUUCAACCAACCAAAUUGAGUGUUUGUGUCGAAAAGAAGUUCAGACAGUGUUCUUUCUCCGUGAGAUCUUAGUGCCCAGUGCGCGCUAGGAGUGAGAAAUCCAACCCAGUGUGUUGGUACUGAAGAUAGGAUCUUCAGUCAUCUCGGUUUGUUGUGCACCCGCAAGCACACGUUCAGGUUUGCUGUGCACCCGUAAGCACAUGCCCAGUGAAGUUGUUGGUCUGAUCAACCGACCAUGGAUGUAGGAAGUGUUUUCCGAACCACGUAAAAAUCUUUGUGUUAUUUACAGCUUUCAGUACUUACCUUCUUACUUGUGCUCUUACCUUCCUAAACUGAAAACUGAUUAAUUGCAAAGAGAAACUUAACUGUUGACAACAUGAUUAAUAUCACAGGCUAUUUCGAAACAAAAGUUUUCCAAUGCGUGUGUUAUCAGUCUAACUGAUCUAUCUUCUGAUAGUCAGUAAGAUUCAUAACAUCUCUCUGUUUAUGAAACUCGACUGAAGCCUUACGUGUAUCAGUUAAAGUCUUUGACUUAACUGAUAACUCCUUACUGAAGAGUAUUCAUAUCAUCGUCAACCCUGUUUUGACAAAACUCUUUCAGUAAACAGGUUGAGUCAGUUUGUAUUAAAGUUUCUUUUUAUCAAAAAAUAGCCCAUAGGUGUAUUCCCCCCCUCCCCAUACACCUAUUCGAGACCCUCCGGACCUAACAACUCUAUCAAGACCUAAAGGGACACAAAGAUGAGCAUAAACAUGGGCUCAUCAUACACACACACUUUAGAUACGAUUUUCCUCAAGCGUGCACUAGUAAUUAUGCCCAACAGACACCCUAAAAAAGAAAACAGACAGGACUCAGGGUUAGUACAACCAAAAUUGCAAACAAGAAAUUGCAAGAAAAAUAACCAAGUAAAAUGUGCAGCAGUUCAAAACUGAUGCCAUUAGUUGAGUUAAGAAGGGGCUUAUGGGCGUAAGGAUAUUCUUCCCCAUUGUUCAUUCUCUCAAGUUUUUAGGGACGUAUUUACGCUCAGGACAUCUUGCUAGGUUUGGCCAUAGGCUUGCCUAUCCUCUACUAUUUCCCCCUUUAGUCAAAGUUGUAGAUACAUCUCAUUAGAUCUUAUAGAGUUGUAAUGCAGCUUCAGGCAUAAGAUGAGAUCAUUUGGUACGAGGCUAAAGUCAAAAUGAACUUCAGUUUGGUGUAGCAUUCCCCAUAUUUAUGUGAUCCUUGCCUGUUCUUGCAGGCCUAAGCAUAUUCUCUCCAUGACUUCAACAGAUUUUUCUUAUUUUUCCUCUUGUCCUUCAUUCUUUUCUUUUCUUUCUGGACUUUGUUUAAGUUAGGAUUAGAUGUCUCAUUUUUACAAUUUCUGCACUAGUCCUGCCCAAAGGAUCCACUACACUAUCUCAUUUUCUUUUUGUCCUUGAGUUCAUUUGGCCAGGUAGGCUCAAAUCUAGGCAAAGUUUUUCAGUGAAUUCAAUGAAUUAUUAAGCUGAAAAGGGUUGACUGGCAAUAGAUGUAGGGUUUGUCAAUUUUGGCUCUGUGGGCUCAAGAAAGAAUUGCCUAAAUCAUAUAUUGCAUCCAGACUAUGUACACACGGUUCGACUAAGAGUCAAGACAAGUUAUAGCUUUACCCUAGUCAAGAUGUCAAUUUACACACAAGAAAGAAAAACUGUUGUGGGCAUAAUACAACAAAUAAAGCUCAAAACCUCACGGUUGUUACCCACAACCCUAUCCAUUGUCCUCAACCACAUACGACAUGUUUAAAAUUUAAAUCCUAAACAACUUGCACAUAAAAACUCAGAAAUAAAUCAUACUUAUUUGAUUGCAACAAUGGCAGGCUACCAAACACACAAACAAAAACAAANNNNNNNNNNNNNNNNNNNNNNNNNNNNNNNNCUUAGGUAAAAGAUGUGUGAGAAAUGAGAUUACCCAAAACAACAAGAAAAACAACGCUCGCCCCACUCCCCCUCCACACACACACACUUUGCUUUGGGUAAAAUGGGUGUGUAGAGGGGGCCAAAAGACAGACUCAAAAGAAAAGAAAUAAAAUCUAAACAGACUUGGCCAAAGUCUUGGGUGCUCUCACCAUGCAUUUUGCCCAUUUUGCUUUGGGCAAAAUGCAGGUGAGGGCAAAAAGGUUACCCCUCCCUUAAUUUUGGCCAAACAAGAUGACAAAAAAAAACAAA
rnacentral:lncRNA from 1 species